UGUUCCAAAUUGCAGUAUCUAUUUACAUCUUCAGUCGCCAAAAAGUUAGUGAACCUCGAAGAGAUCAUAGUCUGCCAAUGUAAAUCACUGAAAGAAAUAGUGGUCAAAGGGGGAGAUGAAGAUGAGCCCAAAGGAGAAGGUGAAGAUAAAUAUGAAAAUGAGAUUAUAUUCAAGAAGCUUGAGGAUUUGACUCUUACCUCAUUAGACAAAUUUGAAGGCUUUUACACCGGGAGUUCCACUUUGAAUUUCCCAUCCUUGAGAAGUGUGUGGGUUGAAAAACGCUUCAGCACCAAAGUUUUCCGUGGUCGUGAUAAAGUGCCUCGAAAUUUACGGUGGUUAUAGAUGAAAUCCAUUGUGUAGGUGAUAAAAAACAUUUGAUCAUGCAAUAACUUAGUUUGAAGAUAUUCCUCAUUUAAUAACUUUUCUUUGUUUCUGCAUUUUACAUAAAUGAAGAAAUAUGAAAUGUUAAAUCAGAAAAUAAUUUUCCUUAAUAUGUGUUUGUCAUCACUAACCUUGUAAAUCAUUUGCUUCAGGAAAAUGUCAGCUGAAAGAAACUUAUUGUCAUUGCGUUGGCUUAAGGUACCCCUGAAAACUUGUUUUCUUCUUUUCAUUAAGCACAACAACAGAGAAGAAAUGGAAUGUUAGUGAGUUUAUUUUUCUUCUUUCAUUCAUAAUUUUCCAUCUUUAUAAAACAUUAUUCUUAACAUAAUAAAUGAUGUUUCCAUCAUUCUUAACAUAAUAAAUGAUGACAUGAUAAGUUAUUCUUAAAGAUUGAAGGAAAGAAAAGUUCUGAUAUAAAAAUUUGAUAAAGCAUGGACACUAGUCAGAACUAGAAAUAUAACACUAAUUCAGACUAUUAAAAUAUUGAUAGUCAGGUUUUCUCAUGCCUUACAAAAACCAGUUUAAAGGCUGUGAAUCUUUCACUUCUCAAAGUUGGGAUUUCACUUGCUGCACAUGAACAUAUUCGUCUUCUUUUCCUAAUAGUUUUAAAUUGUUCCACACUCUAACCAUAGUUCUUUUAAAAAAAUUCAAGUUGCAGGGAAUGAAGGCACUCUCUAUAGCGACAUGGCUACAACUAUCAACAAACAGAGGGCUUUUUCUUUCUGUUGCAGUCCAGUGUUGAUGAACAAAGUUUCCCUAGAUAUAUAAGGUUGUUUGUGAAUAAGUGUUGUUCCUGUAUUCAUACAGGAGCAGAUGCAUGUUGCUUUUAAAUUAUGUGAAGGAUGUUUCAUAUAUUUGACCAGAUUUGAAGUGUUUUAAAUUGAGUUCUUGAAGGAUUUUCUCUGAAUAAAUUUGACAUGAGUUUAUUUGUAGCGAAAGAUACUCCAUGGAUAAGUUGGAAACUAAGCCUUGCAUCCCUACACAUGUCGUGUAUGGUUGGUUUCUCUGUUAUAAGGUGUUUCAUGAACAAUACCUCAAUUAUCAACCCUCUCCUAUGAUAAAUGCCUUGUGUCUUAACCUCUUUCUGACUAUCUUAGAAUUUCUAAUAUUUCCUUAGCUUUAAACUUUGAUCACUUUCAUGUUAAUCAUCUUACUGGUAAUUAGACUUUGGAUUAGUGCUUUUAUCACUAGGAAUCUUGUUGACAUUUUUUAUGUCUAUAUGUUGUCAUAGAAAAUUUGAAGAUUUAGAAAGAAGAUAUUUUGGAGAAGUGGAAACUAAUUAUUCUACUCCAAGUUUCUUCAAUUUUUAUCAUCAACUUUAGGGAUUUCAAUGGAUCCCAUGUUUAGGGUUAGAUAAUGAAGCUAAACUCCAUAGAUGUUAAUGUUCUUAAAUUAUGUUUCACUUUUAUGCAUCACACUUUUGUGUGACUUAUUUCAUCCAAACUCUCUUUUGGCUAAUUUUCUUAUAUAGGAAAAAUGGUAAGUGUAUUUUGAACUGAUUUGGAACAUCAAUAGACAAAAGAUUUUUCUUUGCCAAUUUUUCUGUUAAAUUUUUUGCCAAUUUUCCUGAAAAAUAAUUUGUAAAUAUAAGACAAUUAGUGAGUCAACCUUCAUUUUAAGAUAUAAGCUUCAAUAGGUGUGUUGUUUUUGUUCUGGGUACAAAAAUAUAUUUUUCAACACCCAAUAAAUUAAAUAUCAAGUUAGGAUGAUCAAAACUAUUGUAAACAUUAAACAUAGAAAAAAAAUAUUAGCAUUGAAUGGAAAGACAUAUAUAUAAACAAUAUCAAUUAUAUGAGAAAUUAGUUUCUUAUGACAUCUAAUCCCAACAAAAUGAAUUUAGCUCUUCAUUAUCGUGAAGAGUCCAAAAAUAAAUAAAUAAACUACAGAGGAAAAUGGAGAACUAAGGAGGAGUAUGAAGUUCUUCAAGGAAACUCUAACAUCCCAAAAAUCUCUUCAAAAUGCUUUCUUUUCUCAAAAGUAGUCUAAGUUCUUUCACACAGUGUUUGGAUCAGGGGUGGCCCUGUAGCGUGGACGGAUUAUAGGGUGGCCACCCCCAUUUGGUUCUGUGAGAGGGGAAGGUGAGGGUGAGAGUGAAUGGAAAGGAGGUGGUUUGAGGGUCAUCUGAAAUAUGAAGAGAAAGGAGAGUGGAAAGUCACGUAGGAUUGGUUGAAAGACCAUGGUGCCCUUAUUCACGUUACACAACAGUAACCUUUUACUUUGCAUGGAAGCUAAGCACCACAUCUAUCUAGCCUUCACACAAAGAGUUGCAUUGAUAUAGGAUGCUUGGAGAGGGGUCUUUAGUAAGCAUAGAGGUAGGAGAAUGAGUUUGGUAGUUCAUGUUUGCCCUGAGGUUACGUUUUUUUUCAUUUUAGUUUCAUACAUAAUUGAUUAUCAUUGCAAAAUAACGCACUACAUAAUUGAUUAUGUAGUUAAAAACAGUUGAUAAUCGAUUAUGGUCGUGAUAUAAUCGGUUAUCUGAAAACUUUUGGCAAGCAUAAUCGAUUAUGAGAGCUUUGUUAUUUUGACCAUAAUCUAUUAUCUGUUAGCAUAAUCGAUUAUGUUAGAUUUUGAACUGCAAGAAUAGUUGAUUAUGUCUCUUAAAUCUUUGGAUAAUCGAUUAUGUGAUUUUUUUAAGGGAAGUGAUAAUCGAUUAUGUUCAUGGUUUUUUUUUUUUGAACAUUUUUUCAGGCACACUUUGAUUUUCAGGCACAAUUUAUUUAUGUUUAAAUUGUGUUUGGAUGUUUAUUGUUUUUGGAAUUGAAUUUUUUAAAAUUAUUUGAAAGUAGUUAUUUAUGUUAAUUAGUUUAUAAUUUUAGAUGUCAAUAUUUAAGAGAAAUUUAUUAAUUAUAUUAGUAAAUUAAUUAUUGUGAUAAGUUGUUUAUGUAAUUGUAUAUUGGAAGGAAAGAAUUUGAUGAAAUAUCAAUAUUUAUUUUGUGUGAGAUGAAUUGAAAUCAUAGAUAUGAAUAUGUAUUUUAAAAAUAUUAUAAAAAAAUUAUAGUAAUUAAAAAAGGCAGAAAAAGUUAGAGAAGAAAUUUGAAUUUUUAAUGAUAUGUGUAGAUAGUUUUUAUUUUUUGAACAUUUAAUUAUUUAUAAAAAAAUAGAUUUAUUUAUUUAAAGAAAAUAUUUUUACAGAAUGGAAAUAUAAAUUUUUAAUGUUUACUGUUUUUUUUCUUAGAUUUUACAUUAAUUAUUAAUCUUAUAAUUAAAAAGAUUAUAAAAAUUGUUGUAGUUAUUAAAAACACAAAAAGAUUAGAGAAGAAAUUUGAAUUUUGAAUAAUAUGUGUAGAUAAUUUUGAAUUUGAAUUUUAAAUUUUUAAUGACUUUAUAUUAUAUCACUAAAAAAAAUGUGUAAAAAGUGGCGGUUUUAAUAUAGCGGUUAUUGAUAACCGCCACAAAUUUCAGUAUAAUACGUCAUUUCAUUAACCGUCAUAAUUAUCUUUCAAAUUAUGUCAUUUUUAACUGUCAUAAUUUUCCUUCAGAUUUGAAAACUUGCUUUAUUCCUUUAUUCCUAUAUUCACAUUUUUAACUGAUUUAAAAAUCCUUCAGUUUUUCACUUGAAAAAUGAUUUUUUUUUAAAACUUAAGAAAAUAUUUUUUUUUUAAUUUCAUUUUGAAAACCAGAGUGAACCCUAACUCUAACGCUUUCACACUUCUCUCUGCCUCACACUCACACGAACCCUAGUGCAUGCUGCCUCACACGAACCCUAGCGCUUGCUGCUUCCACACGAACCGAGCGCUCUCUGCCUCACACAAACCCUAGCGAUGUCGGCCUCACACGAACCCUAGCGCUCGCUGCUUCCACACGAACCUAGCGCUCUCUGCCUCACAUGAACCCUAGCGCUCGCUGCCUCACACGAACCUAGCGCUCUCUGCCUCACACAAACCCUAGCGCUCUCUGCCUCCAUACGAACCCUAGCGCUCUCUGCCUCACAAAACCCUAGCGCUCUCUACCUCACAAAACCCUACUCUCUCUGCCUCUACACGGAACCGAUUUGAAGGUAAUUAAAUGUUCGCGCGUUCUCUUAUCAAUGCCGACCAUCGACUUUGUUUGAUGUUUAGGAUUUGUCAUGUGAUUUUAUUUGUGUAUUUCAUUAUGUGUUUCAUCUUUUUACUAGGUAGCUAAAGAGCAAUUGAAGCAAGUUAUCACAGAGGCGGCAGGGGAGAAAGAGUUUCUUGACUCGAGUUCUGAUUUUCGAGCAAUUGAAGCAAGUUAUCACAGAGGCAGGUGAGAGAAUUCUAAAACUCAUUUUGAGUUCUAAGAAAAUGCAAUAUCUUUUUCAAAUGCAAAAUUAGAGCAGCCUAAAAUUCCCAAGGUAUAAUUCUCUGCUGGUUUUCUCUGCUGGUAACUGGUGUUGUAUGAUGCACCUUCGACAGUGUGAAUUGGGUAAAAGAAUCAUCAUGGAGAAGGUGUUAGGAAAGUUAACUAAUAAAGAAACCACUGUUAGCUUUUUCUAUUUUGAUUUUUCCCAUCAUAUCCAUCUCUUUUGAGUUUUCACAUGUUGUAGAACAAUUUAUUUAUAUUAAUUGGAAGAUGUUUAGAAAGUCAGAAAUAAAAUAAAAUCUAAGGUUAUUAAGCAUACUACAGAAGCAUUUGAAUGUUCCAUGAAUAAGGCCCAAUAGUUGAGAGAGAAACCUACCAAGACAAGGAUUUCGUUUGCUGCAGAAACUGUUUUUCUGUAUUAAGCAAUGGAUCUAUGGAAAUUAUUAAAGAAGUCAAGUCAAGGGAUUUUAUUAAGUCCUUAAUCAUGACUAAAAGAUUAUAUAAAAGUGAGUUUAUAUUUUAAUUUUUUUAGUUUUCUAUUUAAUUCUCAUUUCUCAAAAAUUUAAAAUCAUUGUUUUGGAAUUAUGUCUCUUUCACCUACCACUAGAGGAAAACAAUAUGCUGAGAUUAUUUUUAAGAAUUCAGUUUUCACAACUCUUUUAAGAAUUCAGUUUUCACUAUGAUGCCCAUAACUGGUCCCUCUUGAUGCUUUGGUGAUGGUGACUAUGCUCUCCUGAUUGAGUGAUUAUUCUGAUUUGCUAUAUUUUGUGUAUUUGAUUGAGUAGGGUGGUGGUGAAACGUUACUAAGAAUUCUCAAUUAAUUCAUUGAUAAAAUUCACACAGGUUGUAAACAUUGUAAUAUACACUAGUACUUACUGCUCAUAACAAAUAUACUGAAUGUACAUAUAAGGUUUCCUUGAAAAGGUGACGGGUGAAAGAGUCCAAUAACAAUUGCUUUCAACUUUCUUUUUUAUGUCAGUUUAUCAGCAUCUAUCCUUAUCUCUUGUUUGGGUUAUGAUAGAAAGAUGAGUACUUUGUUGGCAAAAGCUGUGUUGUUGAAUAAUGCAUAUAUACCGAUGCUUGGUUUAUUCCAAUCCUUGAGCUAUUUUAGAUCGAGUUGCGAUAGUUAUGUGUAUUGAUAGUUGCAUAUUGUAUAUGAACUACCAAGUGUGAUGAAUGAGUGAGAAAGAGAGAAAACCCAGAGUGGUAAUACAAAAUUGUGUUAGAAUUUUGUGCUUGUCACAUGUAUACUGAAAUCACAAAUCGAAACCCUAUUGACAGGACAAUACUGUAGAACAAUCACUACAAAAAAAUCACUUUUAGCGACCACCAAAUUCGGUCACUAAAAUCACUAUAAUCGGUCGCUAAUCAUAUCUGCGACCGAAACAGUCACCAAAUAAAGAUGGAAGCGAAAACCCUGGUCGCAAAGCCGUUAGCGACCGAAUUAUAAAGUGGUCGCUACUUUGCAACCGAAAUUUCGAUGGCUAAAUCGGUCGCAGAGAAUUUGGUCACCAAAAUUUAGAAACUAAAUUAGCAACCGAAAAUUCGGUUGCUAAAUUUUUCGCAGAUAAAUUUAGUCACCAAAAUUCGAAAACCAAAUUAGCAACUGAAAUUUCGGUGACUAAAUCAAUCGCAGAAAAUUUGGUCACAGAAAUUCAAAAUCCAAAUUAGCUACCCAAAUUUCGGUGGCUAAAUCGGUGACUGAAUUAGAAGGUGAUAGUGACCACCAUUUUCGGUCGCUAAAAAAAAAUCUUUUGGUGACUAUUUCGGUGACUAAAUAGAGACUUCUACAGCGACGGAUUUGAUUUCGGUGGCUAUUUUAUUUGUAUUAUUAAUACCUAUUUAAAAUGGUAUUUUGACCAUUUUAUAAAAAAAUUCAGACCUGCUUAUAAAGAUACUCAAAAUUCAAUCAAGCUAAAUUGUAAUGAACUUCAAAUACAUAGUUUAAGAAGAAGUUGUGCUCAAAUUAAAGGUAAAUCAUACUACACAACUAAAACUGUUGAAAACUAGUUAAAAGAGUCAAAUCUAUGAUAUAAUUCAACAUAUAACUAAAUCUUCUUCUGAACUGUCAUCUCUACUCUGGUCUCCUUUAUGAUGUCCACUGGUAGUAGGAUCUGAAGAGCCUGAUGCGGGAUUAUUCANNNNNNNNNNNNNNNNNNNNNNNNNNNNNNNNNNNNNNNNNNNNNNNNNNNNNNNNNNNNNNNNNNNNNNNNNNNNNNNNNNNNNNNNNNNNNNNNNNNNUUGUUCCAUAUCCCACCUAUACUCUUUCUGCAUGUAAAAUAAAUUAGAAAAAAAACAUUGUAGAAAAAUAAAAUAUCAUUUUAAAUGUAAUCAUAACUCAAAUUACCUUGAACUCUCCAAACCAUCUAUCUCUAAGCUCAAGACGAACCUUCUUCCAAGUGGGACUGGGUUCAUCAUAUUUUUGCUUGAUGAUUCGUGAGAUUACAUUGGAAGGUCCAUUUUCAAGUGAAAAACUAUGUUCAAAACAUAUUGUCAAAAUGAUAUAUGAAAAUUAGAUCAUAUUUACGAAUUACAAUUAGAUUAAAAUAUACUUACUCUCCUCUUGCUGCAUGAAGCCAGGGUCUUUGAUCAACUACAUUGCCAAACUCAUUGUCAGGUGUAAGAGAGUCUUGUAUCGGUGAAGGUUGAUUCAUAGUUAGCUCUGUAGAAAAGGUAGUAGGAUUUGAUUCUCCUACAUGAUGUUCAAUAUCUUGUCCGUGAAGUGUAGGAAGUGGGGCGGCUCCUUCAUAAAUAGGAUGUGUAGACUCCAUAGUUGUUGGAAGAACAAACGAAGGGGGAAUGUUGGUAUUGGGUAAAGAUAUAUCAUCAACACGAACACCUCGACCACCACGAUUAGGUGGUCUACGACCACCACCUCUACCCCUUGGUGUCAUCUGCAAGUAAAAAAUAUUACAUAUAUAAGAUGUAAUUAAUACAAUAAUCAAAGUCGAUCAAUCAAUUUUGAAUAAACAAAUAAAGUAAUCAUGAUCAAAAGACUCAAACCUGAUUUUGUUUUCUACAACCAAAUAUGUCAACCAAAUAUGUCAGUUAUCUUCCCUGUUAUUCACUACAAUUAUGGGAAACCACAAUAAAAUUAAUGUUAAACAUAAUUUGGACUAGGUAUACAAUCAAUUUUAAUGCAUGAAUUACCGAAGAGGUAUCUGUGUCACUGAAAUCACUCUCAAUGUUAUCCUCACUUGAAAUGUAUUCCUCCUCGUAUUGUUCAUCUAUGUUUGUUUCAUUUAGUAAUUGUAUAUCUACUUCUUCUCCCCCCCCCAUCAACAUCAGCAAGAGAAUCAUGAAUGAAUUCNNNNNNNNNNNNNNNNNNNNNNNNNNNNNNNNNNNNNNNNNNNNNNNNNNNNNNNNNNNNNNNNNNNNNNNNNNNNNNNNNNNNNNNNNNNNNNNNNNNNNNNNNNNNNNNNNNNNNNNNNNNNNNNNNNNNNNNNNNNNNNNNNNNNNNNNNNNNNNNNNNNNNNNNNNNNNNNNNNNNNNNNNNNNNNNNNNNNNNNNNNNNNNNNNNNNNNNNNNNNNNNNNNNNNNNNNNNNNNNNNNNNNNNNNNNNNNNNNNNNNNNNNNNNNNNNNNNNNNNNNNNNNNNNNNNNNNNNNNNNNNNNNNNNNNNNNNNNNNNNNNNNNNNNNNNNNNNNNNNNNNNNNNNNNNNNNNNNNNNNNNNNNNNNNNNNNNNNNNNNNNNNNNNNNNNNNNNNNNNNNNNNNNNNNNNNNNNNNNNNNNNNNNNNNNNNNNNNNNNNNNNNNNNNNNNNNNNNNNNNNNNNNNNNNNNNNNNNNNNNNNNNNNNNNNNNNNNNNNNNNNNNNNNNNNNNNNNNNNNNNNNNNNNNNNNNNNNNGAUCUUCAAUAUUAUUUUCUGGAUUAGAACCUAAACAAAAGAUUAUAAAUUACACAAUGUCUCCAAAAGUAAAAUUUGUAUAAAAGGCAAAUUAAAAACAUACAUAUUGUUUGAACCAUAUAGCAAAAUAGGAUGAAAUGUAUUGGCCAAUUUGAGCUUCUGAAGCAGUAGGACUAAUCUCUCUUAAAUAUUUAACAUAAAUACUGCAACAAAGAAAUUGAUUAUUCAAACCUCAUGCAACAUAAUUAACUUUCUUUUCAAAUGAGUGAACAUUGUCUUACUCAAAAUAUGGUUGAACCUCUUCACAGUUUUGAAGAACAUACAAUUGGGCAGCAUCAAAGUCUUUUUGAUUUAGAUAAUAUGUCAUGCAUUUUCCGAUUUCUCUUCCUGGAUAAUUGAAAAUUGAAAUAGGAGGAGCACGUGAAGAACCCUCGCCUACUUCAAGAUUACGAGGGAUCCUAGUCCUUCUUGUUUCAACAUGAUCAGGAUAAUAAAAUGAGGCAAAUGUAGAUGUUUCCUCCACCAAGUAAGCUUCACAAAUAGAGCCUUCCACCCUCGCUUUAUUUUUUACUUUUUUUUAGGGAGUGUAAGAACCUAAAAAAGAAUAUGGAUGUACAUAAUUUUAAAUAUUAAAUAAAUAAACAACAAAUAUUAUAAUAGUGAUUAGUUCCAACGAUAUUGGACUGGACCACCAACUUUUGCCUCGUAAGGUAGAUGAAUUGGAAGAUGUUCCAUGGAAUCAAAGAAGCUUGGUGGAAAUAUUUGUUCCAAUUUACACAAUAACACAGGAAUAUUUUCUUCCAUAACUCUUAGGUGGUCAACAUUUAGUGUUGUCGAACUUAAUUCUCUGAAGAAAAGACUAAGUUCAAUAAGAACUUUCCAGAUUGAUUUUGGUAAUGCGUCAAAUGCAAUUGGAAGCAAACGUUGCAUGAACACAUGACAAUCAUGACUUUUCAUGCCAUGUAACUUGCCUCGAUUAAGGUCAAAACAUCUACCCAAAUUGGAAGCAUAUCCAUCUGGAAGCUUCAGUUCUUUAACCCAUUUACAAAUAAAGACUCUUUGGGAUUUCGUAAAUGUAUAUGCUGCUUUUGGUUUGAUAAGUUUGCCACCACCAAUGUCUUUCAACUCUAGCUCUUUUCGAUUGCAUAUUUGUGCUACAUCCAAUCGAGCCUUGUUUGUGUCCUUAGUUUUUCCUUUGAUAUCCAUCACAGUGUCAAACACAUUCAUGAACACAUUUCUCUCUGUGUGCAUAACAUCAAUAUUGUGACGUAAAAGUUGAGUUUUCCAAUAUGGCAACCUCCAAAAUAUACUUUGUUUCUUCCAAUUAUGUUUAAUACCAUAUUCAGGAAUAUUUUGUUGUUCUUGUAAUUCAGUGCAAACUGGUAAGUGUGCAACCCUAUUCCAAAUGUCAAGACUAGACAAACGUGGAGGAGGGGGAUCAGUCUCAACAAACUUCUUCUUGAAUGCCUUUUUAUUCUUCCUAAAUUGAUGAUCAGGUGAAAGAAAUUGACGAUGACAGUCAAAAAAGGAUAUCUUGUGGCUAUGACUAAGAUAAAAAGCCUUUGUUCUUUCCAUGCAUAUAGGGCAAGAAAGUCUACCAGAAGUCAUCCAACCCGAUAACAUGCCGUAAGCUGGAAAGUCAUUAAUUGUCCACAUCAAAGCAGCUUUCAUCAUAAAAUUUUGCCUUAGUGACACGUCAUAAGUCAAUAUCCCUUCAGUCCACAAGGUGCAUAAGUCAUCUAUAAGUGGUUGCAAGAACACAUCAAUCUUAUGCUUUGGAUUUGAAGGACCUGGAACUAAGAUUGUCAAAAACAUAAACUCUCUCUUCAUGCACAUGGAAGGCGGAAGGUUGUAUGGGGUUAGGAUAAUUGGCCAACAAGAAUAACUUUUUCCAUAUUGACCAAAAGGAUUAAACCCAUCUGCACAUAAACCUAAUCUGACAUUUCUUGGGUCUUGACUAAAAUCUGGAUGCAUUCUAUCAAAAUGCUUCNNNNNNNNNNNNNNNNNNNNNNNNNNNNNNNNNNNNNNNNNNNNNNNNNNNNNNNNNNNNNNNNNNNNNNNNNNNNNNNNNNNNNNNNNNNNNNNNNNNNNNNNNNNNNNNNNNNNNNNNNNNNNNNNNNNNNNNNNNNNNNNNNNNNNNNNNNNNNNNNNNNNNNNNNNNNNNNNNNNNNNNNNNNNNNNNNNNNNNNNNNNNNNNNNNNNNNNNNNNNNNNNNNNNNNNNNNNNNNNNNNNNNNNNNNNNNNNNNNNNNNNNNNNNNNNNNNNNNNNNNNNNNNNNNNNNNNNNNNNNNNNNNNNNNNNNNNNNNNNNNNNNNNNNNNNNNNNNNNNNNNNNNNNNNNNNNNNNNNNNNNNNNNNNNNNNNNNNNNNNNNNNNNNNNNNNNNNNNNNNNNNNNNNNNNNNNNNNNNNNNNNNNNNNNNNNNNNNNNNNNNNNNNNNNNNNNNNNNNNNNNNNNNNNNNNNNNNNNNNNNNNNNNNNNNNNNNNNNNNNNNNNNNNNNNNNNNNNNNNNNNNNNNNNNNNNNNNNNNNNNNNNNNNNNNNNNNNNNNNNNNNNNNNNNNNNNNNNNNNNNNNNNNNNNNNNNNNNNNNNNNNNNNNNNNNNNNNNNNNNNNNNNNNNNNNNNNNNNNNNNNNNNNNNNNNNNNNNNNNNNNNNNNNNNNNNNNNNNNNNNNNNNNNNNNNNNNNNNNNNNNNNNNNNNNNNNNNNNNNNNNNNNNNNNNNNNNNNNNNNNNNNNNNNNNNNNNNNNNNNNNNNNNNNNNNNNNNNNNNNNNNNNNNNNNNNNNNNNNNNNNNNNNNNNNNNNNNNNNNNNNNNNNNNNNNNNNNNNNNNNNNNNNNNNNNNNNNNNNNNNNNNNNNNNNNNNNNNNNNNNNNNNNNNNNNNNNNNNNNNNNNNNNNNNNNNNNNNNNNNNNNNNNNNNNNNNNNNNNNNNNNNNNNNNNNNNNNNNNNNNNNNNNNNNNNNNNNNNNNNNNNNNNNNNNNNNNNNNNNNNNNNNNNNNNNNNNNNNNNNNNNNNNNNNNNNNNNNNNNNNNNNNNNNNNNNNNNNNNNNNNNNNNNNNNNNNNNNNNNNNNNNNNNNNNNNNNNNNNNNNNNNNNNNNNNNNNNNNNNNNNNNNNNNNNNNNNNNNNNNNNNNNNNNNNNNNNNNNNNNNNNNNNNNNNNNNNNNNNNNNNNNNNNNNNNNNNNNNNNNNNNNNNNNCUUGAAAACUUUACAACUACAUUUAAACAAGGACAUCUUAACAUUUCACCUUGUUCUUGAAACUUUUCUUGACUAAUAACAUAUUGUAGGAACUCAUACACUCCUUCUCUAAAUUCCUCUGUCAGAUGUUUGUUUCUAUCCAAUCUUUUAUACAUCCACUUUCUACCUUCGGGGAUUUCCAUUAAUGCAAUCUGACUACAACAAAUUCUUAAUGUAUACACUUGUUUUAGGAGAGAGAAAACAGAACACUGAAUGGAGAAAGUAAAAAAUGGAUGCAAAUAUGAAAGUAUUGGGUUGACAGGAAGAGAAACAUACCUUUGUUGGUUCACUUUGUAACUGAUCUUGGGAGGAGGUUCUAUUAUUUAUAUAGAGCUGCGGCUAUAUAUAUUUUUCCUAUAGACAAGAGAGACGAAGAAUAUCAUAUUGAAUCAAAAGAUCAUUAAAAUAAGUAAAACUAGAUUCAGCCUAAUAAUAAAGGUUUAGUCACCAUCAUCGAAAACUAAUAAAAAUUGAGAUAUAAUCAGCCAUUGAUUAGCCAUAUUGCCAACAGUUUCAUCUUGAUAUCAUACAAAAGAAUAAGAAAGAAGAAACUACAAACUAAGGAAAUGAAUGCAGAGGCAAGUUUAGAACAGAGGGAAAAAUCUUUCACCUUUUAUUUUUUAAAGUUCAACCAUUAAUUUGGUCCCUAUAGUUGAACAAACUUUACAUUUUAGUCUCAUGUAAAGAUCAUAUUUUUAGUCUUAUACAUACUAUUGUAAUCUCUUUUAAUUUCUAUGAAUUUAAACAUUGAGACUAACAAAUUAAAAAUGGUAUGCAUAAAAACUAAAAGUAAUCGAAAUAAUGAGUGAGAUAAUGGCCUUUUUUUAAUAUUGAUUGUGAUUUUUCAGUAAAAAAUAAAUUUUAUGCACUCUGUUCUAAAGUGACAUCAAUUGGAAUGGUGUCCAAAAUUAGUAAAUAAGGAAGAAUUUUGGAGAGUUAAUUGCAUAUGAAAGAUAAAACACCACAUUGCACAACAUUAAUGUAGUAGUAUAAACAUACACAUGUAACAAUGAUAAAACAAGAUAAUUUUGUAACUCCAAAAGGUUCACUCUAAGAAAGGUGGAGUAAAACACAGCAAUUGCUUUACUGAAAACUACCUGAGGAACAACAAUUGCUAGAUUUAGAACUCCUAUGGCCAAUCCUGCAAAACCAACAGGCAUCUUGAGAUCAUAAACAUUAAAAGACCAAAUAUUCAGGAUAUCAAAACUAUCUACAACUAAUACCAACCUUGGCCACCUCCUGAAUCAGCCGUCAACUCUGCUGUGACAGCAAAUGGAACACUAUAGGUAAUCUGCCACAGAUAUGGGAAAUUUAUUAUGUCAUGCACUCCCUUAGGUAUUUAAUAAAGCUAAUAGAAUGAUUNNNNNNNNNNNNNNNNNNNNNNNNNNNNNNNNNNNNNNNNNNNNNNNNNNNNNNNNNNNNNNNNNNNNNNNNNNNNNNNNNNNNNNNNNNNNNNNNNNNNAAUCUGGUGGUGCAACAAAUAGUUUAAAUGUAAAAGUCAAACAACUCAUUCAUUGAUUUUAGCUCCAGGCAUUUGUCAACUAAGGCAAAAAGCCCAUUCUCAGUUACAUGACGACAACUCCAAAGAAAAAUGGUCUGAACAAAAACAAUAAGCUAUCAUUUAUAAUGCAAUGGAAUAUCACAAACAUCGAAUAUAAACCAGUGAAGAUUGAUGAUCAGGCUCAUACAGACAGUGAGAUUAUUGAAAUGCCAUUUCUUAGACAAUUGUAAUUUUUCUUUUGACCAUGAGCUUCAGUAUAAACCCUUUGUUCUGAUGUUCUAUAUAUUAGUUUCUUUUGUUAUGGAAGGAGGACAAUAAUUGAACACAAAAACCUAACAUUCAAGUUCUUAUAACUUGCCUCCAACUUUGGACAACUCCUUACAAUGCCAAACAGAGAUUCAUCCGUGAUAAAUGUACCACCAACAUUAAGAUGUUGUAAAUACCUAGUUCUGGUUAUCUGUUGUUAGAAGCAAAGGGAAAUAAAAACAAAACAACACAUUAAUUGACAAUGUAUUGAUUUUUUCUUGGAAUGUGUCCUAAUUUAGGUUUGAGGACAAAUUUUGUGGCUAUCAACUGAAAUCCAAAUAGCUAUUAGUCAAACUAAAAACAGAAAAUAACAAUUCCUUAACCUGACAAAUGUCAGAAUACUAUCUGCACAAUCUAGUCAUGAUAAACUCCCAAAACUAAUCUAAUUUCAUUCCAACUGCAAUAGUCUGCACAAAAUGAUUAUAUGUUGGAAUGGCAAGUGAGACACACAUUGAAUUGAAAAGAUCAAUCAAAAGAAUGACCCAUAUUUAUAAUAUUUUAAAAUUUUGGGUUGGAUUUAAUUUCAAGUUUACUCGUAUAAGAUGAUAAUAGAGAUUUUCAGGGAGCUGAAAACAAGUAUUGUGAUUUAAUCCCCUUCUAUUUUCUAACAUCAUUCCAUGUAAUAUGUCCCAAACCCAAGCAUGUGAGUUACAAAAUCAAAACAAUAGCAUACCAGUUGGUAAAUCAUCCAAAGGUUGUCAUGAAACAAUUAUCCCAAACGCUUAAGCAGUUAGUGAAGGCACAUGAAUCUCAUACACUUUUUACGCAAGAGCUCUUUGGGCUUAAAAGGUUUGUGUUUCAAUUGAAAAUUUACUAAGAAAAUUGGGUGCAAUAAGGAUCAAACUUUGGACUACUUGGUCAUAGAAGCUUUGAUACAUAUGAAAAACCUUUAUAUCCAACAAGUUUAACACAGUUUAAUGAAAUAAAUGUUCAUCCUGAAUAUUCAAUGAAUNNNNNNNNNNNNNNNNNNNNNNNNNNNNNNNNNNNNNNNNNNNNNNNNNNNNNNNNNNNNNNNNNNNNNNNNNNNNNNNNNNNNNNNNNNNNNNNNNNNNNNNNNNNNNNNNNNNNNNNNNNNNNNNNNNNNNNNNNNNNNNNNNNNNNNNNNNNNNNNNNNNNNNNNNNNNNNNNNNNNNNNNNNNNNNNNNNNNNNNNNNNNNNNNNNNNNNNNNNNNNNNNNNNNNNNNNNNNNNNNNNNNNNNNNNNNNNNNNNNNNNNNNUGAAUUGGAAUGAUUUUGUAUCACCAAUAUAAAUGAUGCAGUUCAACAAUUAAUUGUUUUUAUGUUUAUUUUUACUUCACUUUUACCACUUCAUAUCAAAAGCAAUUGAGUUGAUAGGCUUAAACUUAAAUGAAAAGAAACCUAAUUUUGUAUCACCAAUAUAAAUGAUGCAGUUCAACAAUUAAUUUCUUUUUUUUUUGUUUAUCUUUACUUCACUUUUACCACUUCUUAUCAAAGCAAUUGAGUUGAUAAGCUUAAACAGUUAAACGAAAAGAAACCUAAGGACACUUUUGGCAGUAUAUUGGGCUCUAUUUUUAAUCUUCUAAAAUAAUGGUUUCAAAUAAGAAUGUGUUGCUUAUGACUUUGUCUUGUGAAACUCAUGGCUAUUUGUUUAGUUUUAACUUAUUAUGUUGACCAUUACUCGUCGUUUAUAUGAUAUAUUUCAAGCUAACUUUUACCACUUCUUAUCAAUGCAAUAGCAUGAUGUAGAAACUAGAAAGCAUGAUGUGUGGCUACAUGCAUAGCUUCCUCUACAUGGCCAAAGUAUGAGGUGCCAGAUGUUAGCCUUUCAACCCNNNNNNNNNNNNNNNNNNNNNNNNNNNNNNNNNNNNNNNNNNNNNNNNNNNNNNNNNNNNNNNNNNNNNNNNNNNNNNNNNNNNNNNNNNNNNNNNNNNNNNNNNNNNNNNNNNNNNNNNNNNNNNNNNNNNNNNNNNNNNNNNNNNNNNNNNNNNNNNNNNNNNNNNNNNUUAAGCUCAAUUAAUCCCCAUGAUCCCUUCAGGAAUAAUGAAGCCUUCCAGAGGAAAGCUUCCUCUUCCCAUCAUUAUCAUCACAACCUGUGUUCUUGUUUUUGUGGCUAUCUUGUAUGCAGAGAGACUCAGUUUCCUCUCUUCCAAGUCCAUUUUCAAGUUCAAACCAUGUCCUAGACAAAUCACCAAACCAAAGUCGAGUAAGUCAGCUUCUCAUAUGCCACAACUAUAUACCUCACCUCAUCUUUGUCUUCUUAUGUUUUUAUCUAUUAUGAGUUUGAUUCUUAUGCAUUUAUAUCUCAUCAUACAAUGAUAGUCCUAGCAGGUGACAAAAAGGCAGAUGAAGAGGUUGUGAUUGUGAAUGCAUCAUCAUGGAUUGAUGACAUGUUUGAUUUUGACCCUGAGGAGUGCAAUGUUGCCAAUGGGAAAUGGGUGUUUAACUCUUCAGUAACGUCUCUCUACUCUGACAUAAGCUGCCCAUAUAUAGAUAGACAGUUUUCUUGUGUCAAGAAUGGGAGGAAUGAUUCUGACUAUCGUCAUUGGGAGUGGCAGCCAGAAGAUUGCACGUGACAGCCAGAAGAUUGCACCUUGCCACGGUAAGUUCCUCACUCCAACUUGCCAAUUGUAAUUGUAGAACUUGCUUUAUGUAUAUAAACAUUUUUAUCAUAUACAUGUAUGAUUAGUUUAUGUAAACUACAUUCCAAAAUGACUAUAUUUUGCAGUUUCAAGCCAAAGCUAGCCCUCAGAAAGCUUCAAGGGAAAAAACUGCUAUUUGUUGGGGAUUCACUGCAAAGAAAUCAGUGGGAGUCUUUUCUCUGCUUGGUAGAAUGGGUCAUAACUCAUAAGCAUAAAUCUAUGAGACUAGCUCAUUCGGUCUUCACUGCCAAGGUAUUGAUAUAUUGAUUGAAAUGAUGGUCAAAUAUGUUUACUCAACUCAAACAGCUAUUAACUAGAACAAAACAUAGAUGCAGUUUUACAUAUGCUUUUGUUGUUGUUUUCCAAUCAGAAUUGGAGUUUCACUUCAAUAGACAGAACUAAGAUGAAGCUUUAAGAAAAGAAAAAAGCCAAAAGAAUACGACUCUAGGGGUAUCUAUUUUCAAUCAAUCAUAUAGCCAAAAGACAGGCAUACCGUUCGCUCGCACUACUCGCACCGUUCGCCUCCGCACGGCUCCGCUCACACCGUUCGUCUCCGCUCGGCUCCGCUCACACCUUCGUUCGCCUCUGUUCGUACCUCCGUUCGCACCACGAUCAUCACCUACAACUUCCUCCUCCUCCGACCACCGUUGCAGCUUCCUCCUCCUCCGACCACCGCUGUAGCUUCCUCUGCACCUUUCUUCACUCCUAUAAGCAAUUUUGGUAUUUCGUGCCCUAACAACACCUGCACUUCCAAAUAACUCCAAAGCUUAAAAAAAACAAAUUUCAAAUUAAAAAAUAUUAAAAAAUAUAGCAUUUGUGUAAAAUUAAAAAUAAAUAUUUAAAUAUCCAUGAUAGUAAAUAUGGAUAUUUUAAUAAUUAAAAAACUAUUUACAAUUUAUGUCUAAAAAUUUAUUUAUGUUUAUAAAAUUAAAGUUAUUUUAAAGAUAUCAUUUUAUUUAAAUUUAAUUAUAUAGCAUAAUUAUAUAGCAUAAUUUUAUUAAUAAUAAUAUUUUGUUAUGUAAUUUUAUUUAGAAUUUUUAUUUGAGCUGAUAUUUUAAAAAGAGUAUUUAAUAAAUUUUAUUUAAAUUUAAGAAAUUACAAAUAUAUUUGAAAUAUAUUUUUUAAAUAGAAAACGAAACCAGUAAUACAACUAAUUAUUUUUUAAACGGAUGAGUACUCAUUAAUAUUCAAAAGUGUGUGUGAUCCUUGUAUAGUUUUUUAAAAUAAAAAUGAAUUAUUAUUAUUAUUAAUAGUAGUAAAAUAAACAAUUACAUUUAGCGACCAAAAGAAAUUCGGUGGCUAAAAAGUGGUAAAAAAUCGGUGGCUAAAAACUAAAUAAAUUUGGUGGCUGAUUCGGUGGCAAAAAUAAACAUUUAUAUUUAGCGACCAAAAGAAAAUCGGUGGCUAAGAAGUAAACAUAAUCGGUGGCUAAUUCGGUGGCAGAAAAAAGCAAUAAAAUUUAGCGACCGAAAUAAAAUCGGUGGCUAAAAAAUAAACAUAUUCGGUCGCUAAUUCGGUUGCAAAUAUAUUUUUCCCAAUUUAUUCGAAACAACCACCACUUUAGCGACCAAUGGUUUUGUCACUCUCAUAUUCGGUUGCGGAUUCGGUCGCAAAACUAACUAACAUGAUAAAUAAUUCAGUCGGUCGCUAUUUCGGUCGCAGAUCUGACACUACGGGUAUUUGGUGGCUAUUUCGGUUGCAAAUUGCGAUCACUAAUUUUCGGUCGCUAAAUUCGGUGACUAAAUUGUUAUUUCCUUGUAGUGAAUAUUUACAUCAAUUCAAGCCAUUUUGUCUUGUAAGUUAUCGAUCAAGAUUCAGGGAGAUAAUUGUUUCAAUAGCUAAGGCGUACGUUGUCACUGCUUAUAUUAGUAACAUGUUUAAUUUACCAAUACCUUGUGCCCUCAGAAUGAUGGGGCAACGUGGGAAGCUUAUGAAGGUACUACUAGGAUUAUAAUAUUUUAAGCACCAAAAAAAUAGUUAAGUUUUGUUUACAAAAUAACUUUUUUUCAGUCAGUACACUGUUAUGAAAUUGAUAGAGCAAUACACAAAGCAAUAAACAAUACUCACAAUUUUAAGAUGCAAUUUUGAACUUCUAAAUUUUAGGACAACUACAUAUCCUCUGGUAUUGUUGUCGGAUUGGUUUUCAAUGACUUGGAAGGUUGUGACAUACAUACCCUGGAAAAUGAAUUUUGACAUGUUAUGUUAUGAUGUUUGAUUAUAAACUGUUUAUAAACAAAGGCUAAUGAGUAAUGACAUUCCUAUUGAGUUACAUUUAUCUGCAUAAAUCAUCUUCUUUAUAUACCUUAUAGUUUCAGUUCCAAUGUGUAAUAGUUUUAUAUGGGCCAAACUGUAUAGAUCCUUUCUAUGGUCCAACACAAUAUUCUGGUCCCUCACUUCAACAUUUUAUGUUCUGUUUGCAGUUGCAACUACAUUCAUUAUGAUGUGACUUCAUCAUUCCCCCACCUUGGGCAUUCAAGCAUAGUUAAAGCUACACGAGAGCUUUUUAUGCAGAUUGAAGGAAAUCCUGAAUUUUUCUGAUAUAAAGUUACACUUGUAAGUUUCUUGAUAUCUCCAUGUUACCUCUUCAAAAACAAAGGAUGAACUUGGUGAUGUAUAGGGAGUAGAAAGGAAAAGUGGGAGUAAAAUAGUCACACUAAUAUCUUUGAAACCAUGACAAACUUAUCACAAGAAACCAGAUAUGAUAACAGUGAAAUGCUUGUCUGCAGAGGAAGGCAAAACCUUGGGUGAACCUUCCUACACCAUGAUUUUUUAUAUGGUUUUCCCAUGUAUAUUAUUAACCUGUAUAUAGAAACAAUACAAAUUAACUAGCCAUUAUUGCCUGGUUAAAGAAUUAGAUCCACAAAGUAUUAAAACUUGGUAAAGAAAUUAAUCAGUAGAAUUAGAUCCACAUCUAUGAAACCAAAAUUUGAUUAAAUUUUAAUAUCUUUUUUUCCAUUAUAUGCUAACAAAUAUCUACUAACUUUAUUGAGAAUUAAUAUUCAUAAAAAUGGAUUAAUUAUACGUUUUAUAAUGUUGAUAAUAAGUGGUUCUUGGGUAUAUAUGUUUCUUGAUUGCUAAUAAAAAAAAUACGUGAAGUAUAAGUUUAUAAUCGUACACUAGUAUUUUAGUAGACUUGAGAAGUCAAAUUUGUGAAUUCCAUAAUACUAAACUCUCCAUCACAGGACAUUUCUCAUACAUUUAUUAUAAUAUAUUAAUAUUGUAAUAUAUUAUAUAUUGACGUUUGGUUCUUAAUUUGUUUGACAUUUUAAUUGGUAUCAUUCAGUCGAUCUUGGGAGGAGUGUCUUUUGGGAUAUGAAGAAUCGUCUUCCUCGAAGCAUCUCAACAUUGGAGUGGGAGAACAGCUUUGUUUAUGUUUACAGCAAGGAUAAUCCAAACUUGCUUUUCAGCAUGUGAGUGUUGAUUAUUUUCAGCAAUACCAAUUCCUUUUUAUCUUUCCCUUUUUUCAUUGCAUUCAAGCCUUUAAGAAUAUUUAACUGGCCUUGGGUGUCUAAUUUAUCAUGAUUAUGGUUGAAAAUAUAGUUUUAAUUGGUGAGUGAAGCUGAAUUGUGGAUAGUCUGUGAAGAGGUCACCAUUGGUUUCCCAUGGUCUUUGUUUGUUUUCAGGGUUUAUGACCUAUUUUCGAGAGGCAACUGUGCAUACCCAAGAGCUUCUAGAUUUGCUAGUUAAAUGUGAAAAUAAAAUUCAGACUCGUAUUAAGAUUGGGCUCAACACAAAGACGCCUAGCAGGUAAUUAAUUCUUUUUUUUAUGGUAGGUAUAUUAGUUGUUUCUUAAUAUUUUAUUCAUAAAUACUAGGUUUUAAUGUUCAAAUCUAUGCUCCACUGUAUCUUUUAUCAGGUUCUCACCUAUCAUUUUCUACACUCCUAAAGAAAUAGGAGGGCUUGGAUUGUUGUCCAUGGGUCACAUUUUGAUUCCACAAAGUGAUCUUCGAUACCGUCAGCAAACAGAUGUUGGAGUAACCCACUUCAAGAGUGGAAUGAGUCACGAGGAGGACCAACUGAUUCCCAACCUUUAUCGUUAUAUACAGGUGAACCUUAAUUAUCUUCCUCUUAUAUGUACUAAUAUGUAUGCAUUUGCCUUGUCAUGUGGUUUAUUAAGAGUCAUAUAUUAAAAUAAACUUUAUCUUUAUGUUCUCUUGGAUCAUGCUGCCUUGGGAGAGCAAGUUCAUUGAUUCAUAGCGUGUCUGAGCUAAUAUGCAUUGAAAAGACAGGAAGCACAGGCACAAAAUUGACGUUUGACCCUGGAAGAUCUGGAAGUGAGUUUCUGUUGACUUUUUAUUGACCUUAAUAUUUGUGUUUAGGUAGUUGUUGUGACUCUGGAUAAUGCAGUGGUAAUGUGCAUGUGUUUUUCUUUGAGACAAAUCUACUUAUUUCCCUACUAAGUUAUGUUAAUCUGUUCUGCAGGAUUCAUGGGAGAGGUAUAUCGCGUAUUAACACUCUGUUUCAAAAGGAUAGGCACACUUUGGCUUAUGAUAAAGGAUGGAGAGUGCGUACUGAUUUCAAGCAGCACCAAGUUCUGAAACAAAACCCCUUCUAGUGGACACAUCAGAUGCACGAUGGGAAAUUGUGGAACUUGAACAAUUACUGAAAUGAUGUUAAUUGAACUUUUUAACAAUUAUGUGUUGUAAUUUUAAACUUGAUUAGAGAUGUAUGUAGUUUUUGUGUUUUAAUUUUUAAUUAUAUAUAAACAUUAUUAUGUGUGUUUUAAUUUUCAAUGAAAUGAAUGAUUGAUUAUAACUUUAUACAUUAUUUUAUUUUAUUAUGAAAAAGUGGUGGUUAAAUUUUAUAAUUGUAUAAAACAGAUUAUAAAAACGUGGUGGUUAAAUUUUAUUUAUUCAGAAUUAAAAUUACGUCAGUUAAAAAUGUCACUAUUUACGUAUAUAAUGGUGCCAUACUGUAAAUUGCAACGGUUAUAACUGACACUACUUAUGUAGAUUAUGGUGUCAAAAUCUUUUUCAAUGAAUGUAAAUUACGACAGUUAUAACUGAUAAUACUUACAUAUAAAAACCGUCACUAUUUACACUAUGUUUAAAGUGGCGGGUGUUGCGGCGGGUAACGUAAAACCGCCACAUUAAACUUUGUGGCGGCCAGUUCUAUGGCGGUUUGGGAAACCGCCACAAGUGUAUAUUGUGGCGGUUAUAAACGCCAGUUUAUACGAAAAUAACCGCCACAAUAUACAUUUUUUUUUGUAGUGUAUAUUUUCACAACUACUUAAUAUUCAUAUUCUAAAUAACCAUUUACUUUUUAAAAUAUAUUAAUUUUGUUAAUGACAAUAAUAGAAGUCCUUAUUAAAAAUAAUUUUGUAUAUAAAUAUAUAUAUAUAUAUAAAAUAAUUUAAAAAAAACAUAAAUAAUAUUAAAAUUAACUUAACUAACAAAAUUAAUUUUAAUUAAUAAAUUGGAAAAUAAUGAAAUUAUAUUUAAAUAUAAAAAAUUAUUUUUUUUAUUUCUUUGAAUUUUGCAAUAUUUUUAUUUUAUUUAUAUUAAAACUUUAAUUUAUUUUAAUGAACUAAAAUAUGAACAACAUUAAUAAUUAUUUAUUUCUUUUUUUAUAUAAAGGAUAAAUUUGUAAUCUUACAAUUUAAACCUUUAAAAGUAAUAUAAAAUACUCCUAGAACCAUCAAAUGACUCAUGUAUUUAAUAAACGUUCUUCACACAUUCAGUCUAUCAUACCUUAAUUCAAACAGCCCCAAUUUUUUUCACACUUUCUUCUAAUAUCCUCACAUUUCUACUCACCCGCACCCUCAACUUUCGACUCUCCAAUUCAAUAAAAAAUAUCAAAAAAAUUGAAAAAAUAAGCCAAAUAUAUCAUAUCAUCAAAAGCAGCACCCAGCACUAGACAUUCCACACUCGCCGCAUGGACGCAAAAGAAGAAAAUUAGAUUCCUCUUCAAGUGGCGCUAAGUGCGAGUCAAGUGGUGCUCAUCCUAGGGCAACACAAAAUCCUCGGUGUUGAGCUUGAUCUAAGUAGCUAUCAGUGCAAUUUAACUUUUAAAAUUCUCAUAUUCGAUAUUUUUUAUAAACUUUUUCAUGGAUUUCCCUCUUACUUACUUGGUUUAACACAAGUAUUUUCGGUACAAUUUUUAGACAAAAAUAAUAGGGAUUAAUAAUAUAAUUAUAUGAGAGUAACUAAUAUCCAAUUACAUAAAAAAAAUUAUCAAAAGACGACUAAGUAUGUUAAAAGUUAAAGAAGAAUUUACUUUGUUAAUGUAAAAUGACUAAAUAAAAUGAUAAAAAUUAACAUUAUUAUUAGUUAGCUACUGUGUAACUUUGUAAAAAGAAUUUGGUAUUUUGAAACUUAAUGUUUCUUUUGUUGAGAAUUUUGAAGAUUAGUUUUAAAUUUAAUUAUUUGAUUAUCUAAAUGUUAGCUUAUAAUACUAAAGUGUAGAGUUGUUGGACUCAUAGAGAUGAAAUUGUGAUUUUUGUUUGAGUUAUGGUCUUGGUUGAGUAUAUGUGUUAAUUGGAAUGUCGAAAUUUGAUUUUUUAUAUAUUCUAGGGGUUGAAUAGCUGAGUUUUUUUAAUGUUGUUUUUUAUGUAUUCGCUUAGCGUAUUAAAAUUCACAAAGCAAUUACAAGGAAAUGAACAUGAGAGCACGAGAGUCCAAUUGUAUUACUUUCGGACAAAAAAAAUUAGACAGUAUUUUCUAUGAGAAGUUCACUAAGUAAAUUUGAACCUGUUCAGUGGAUUGAAAUCUGUUUGCAGAUUUCUUAAAAAAAAAUUGUUUAAUUAUUUAAUCCUACCAUUAAAAAAGUUGUAUGGUAAAAGAUUUUAAAUUGUUUACAUGUGUUGAAAUAAGCUAAAUAAAAGAGUUAGGUUGUUAACUAUAACUAUCCAAAACUUAAAGCUAGAUAUUUCUGUUAUCAGAAUGUUUUUAAUUCUUUCUGUUUUUAACAGCUAUAAAUAACAUUGUUUGUAUUGUAUCAGUACAGUUUUUCUAAUAAAGAGGUUUCAGUUUCAAUUCCAAUUAUCAAUUAAUUCCCAACGGAUUGGUAUCAAGAGCAUAGGGAGGGGACUUGUGUGGUUUCCUGGCAGUGAGGGUAAGACUGUUGCUGGAACUUUGAGCAGAGAAGGAUCUGUUGUUGUUUUGCAAGCCAAGAAUUGGAGGUUGACUGCUGUAGGUGAUAGCUGUCAUGGCUGCAUUUGGUGUGGUUCCAAGGAGUCUUCCGGUGUUUGAUGGGAAGGAUUAUGAUGAUUGGAUUGUGAAGAUGGAAGUCAUUCUUGGUUUUCAAGAAUUAGAAGAAGCUGUCAAGAUUGGCUUUCAAGAUUCAACCAAGCUUGAAACAGAGGAGCAUAAGAAAAAGUCUGAGAAGCAAUCAAAAGAAAAUAAAAAGAUUGAUUGCAAGGCACAGAUGUUACUGCAUCAGUGUGUCUCAGCUGCUAUUUUCCAGAAAAUCUCAAAAGCUGAAUUUGCCAAGCAUAUUUGGGACAUACUGGAACAAACCUAUGGAAAUAUUUGUAGGGUUAAGAAGGUGAGGCUUCAAUCACUCAGAAAACAAUUUGAAUUGAUGUCCAUGACUGAUCAAGAAUUAGUGUGUGAUUACUUUGGUAAAAUCCAAGCAAAUGCAAAUUCCAUGCGAGGUUGUGAUGAGCAGUUGCCUGAUUCAAAGGUGGUUGAGAAGAUUCUUAGAACUUUGACUCCUGCUUUUGAUCACAUUGUAGUGGCAAUUGAAGAAUCCAAGGAUCUUGAUGAAAUGACAGUAGAAGAACUCCAAAAUUCUCUUGAAGCACAUGAACAAUGGUUACUUUCAAGAAAAGGUAAAGAAAAGGUAGUAGAGCAAGUUUUCCAGGCUCAAACUGCUGGCAAAGGCAGAGGAAGAAGUGGCUGGAAAAAGAAAGGAAGAGGAAGAGAAAGAGGAGGUCAAUCAAGUGACUGGCUUGCUUCAAGCAGUCAGAACCAGAGUCAAAAUAGUGUGCAAAAGCAGAAAUUGGUUGCUGGUAGAGGGAGUCAAGAUCAUGGAUUCAAGAAAUUUCAUGAUAAAAGAAAACUACAAUGUUAUAAUUGUGGAAAGUAUGGUCAUUUUGCAGUUGAAUGUUGGGGAGUUGGUAACAGUAACAACACUGGAAAAAUUUUCAGGAAAGAUGAAGCACAUUUAGCUCAAGAAGAUGAAGAUUCUGAUUUAGAUCAAGUGUUAUUAAUGGCCACUACAAAUCAGGAUGAAGAUGCUUCAAGUUGGUACUUAGACACAGGUUGUUCCAAUCAUAUGACUGGCAACAGGGAGUGGAUUAUUGAUUUUGAUUCUAAUGUCAAAAACAGUGUGAGAUUUGCAGAUAAUAGUAUGAUCUCUGCUGAAGGAAUUGGCAAGGUCAGAUUCACUUGUAAAGAUGGAAAAGUUGGUUGUAUGAAUGAUAUCCUAUAUGUGCCAUCAAUGAAGAAUAAUCUUCUCAGCUUAGGCCAACUACUGGAAAAGGGAUUCAAAAUGUCAAUGGAGCAUAAUUCUAUCAACAUCUAUGAUUAGAAAUCAAGGUUAGUUCUUAAGGCACCUUUGUCUAAAAAUAGGACUUUUAAGACUAACCUUAAUACAUCAACUGCACAAUGCUUGUCUUCAAUUGGGGAUAAGGAGGAAACAAAUCUGGUGUGGCACUACAGAUUUGGUCAUUUGAAUUUCAAGAGUUUGAACCAACUGAGCAGUAAACAAAUGGUCACAGGGUUGCCACCAAUCAACCUAUCUCAUAAGACUUGUGAAUGUUGCCUAUUUGGGAAGCAAUCAAGAAAGAAUUUCAAGAAAUCAGUACUGCAAAGAGCAAAGAAGCCUUUGGAGGUUGUAUAUUCAUAUGUAUGUGGCCCUCAUGAUAACAAUUCACUUGGAGGUAAUAGGUAUUUUCUUACUUUUGUUGAUGAAUUUACCAGAAAAAUCUGGAUUUACCUAUUAAAGGAGAAAGGUGAGGUCUUUGGAAGAUUUGUAAAAUUUUGUGCUAAGGUUGAAAGGCAAUCAGGCUAUGCCUUAACCAUUUUCAGAACUGAUGGAGGUGGAGAAUUCAAUUCCAAAGAGCUGGAAGAAUUUUGUGUUGCAAAAGGAAUUGAACAUGAAGUUACAGCUCCUUACACUCCACAACAUAAUGGAAUUGCAGAGAGAAGAAAUAGAACUUUGCUUGAUAUGGCAAGGUGCAUGCUCAAAGGCAAGGGGCUGCCUCAUAGCUUUUGGGGAGAGGUUGUCACCAUUGCAGCCUAUAUUCUCAAUAGGUGUCCUACAAAAAAAUUGGAGGCAGUUGUACCAAAAACAGUUUGUUCUGGACUUAAACCAACUGUUAGUCAUUUGAAAAUAUUUGGUUCCUUGUGCUAUAGGCAUAUUCCAGAUGAGAAAAGGAAGAAGUUGGAAGAUAAGAGUGAAGCUCUUAUCUUAAUUGGAUAUCAUCCAAUAGGUGCUUACAGGUUGUUCAACCCAGUAAACUAGCAAAUUCUCAUCAGCAGAGAUGUUGUUGUAGAUGAGAAUGCAUCCUGGAAUUGGAGUAAAUCUGUAAAACAGAUUCAUUGUGUUUUAGAAGAAAGUGGACAACAACAAGAUGAAGAACAUGAAAAUAUAGUUGAGCCAGAAUCUAUAAGAUCACAAAGGCAAAGAUUUCCUUCUUCUUGAUUAAUAGGUCAUGAAGUUUACAGUGAUAAUUUGAUCUCUGAUGAAGGAGAGUUGGUUAGCAUUUGUGGCAGACAUUGAGCCAAUCACUUGGAAGGAGGCAAUAGUUGAUAGAAAGUGGAAGAGUGCAGUGAUUGAAGAGCUGGAAUCACUAGAGAGAAAUGAAACCUGGGAAUUAGUGGCUUUGCCAAAGGGGAAAAGACCAAUUGAUGUCAAAUGGGUUUUCAAGAUAAAACUCAAGUCUGAUGGCAGCAUAACCAAGCAUAAAGCAAGAUUAGUUGCUAAGGGUUUUCUGCAGAAACAUGGAAUAUACUACACUGAAUUCUAUGCACCAGUGGCCAGAUUGGAAACCAUUAGAUUGGUGAUUGUUGUGGUCAGUUCUAGAAACUGGAAAAUCUAUCAAAUGGAUCUUAAAUCUGCAUUCUUGAAUGGAAUUUUAGAAUCGGAGGUUUAUGUGACUCAGCCACUAGGUUUUGAAGCAAAGGAUGUCAGCCACAAAGUGUUCAAACUCAAGAAAGCACUUUAUGGACUCAAACAAGCUCCUAGAGUGUGGAAUAAACUGAUAGAUUCGUUUUUGCUCAAGCUAGGCUUCACAAAGUGUUCAGUAGAAUAUGGAGUGUAUGUAAGAGAGUCACAAAGUCAAAGCUUAAUCUAUGUAUGUCUAUAUGUGGAUGAUUUGUUAAUCACAGGGAGCUCAAUGACAGAGAUUGAGCAAUUCAAAAAUAGAUUGAAGGCUGUUUUUGAAAUGAAAGAUUUGGGAAUGCUUAGCUAUUUUCUGGGAAUGGAAUUUGUAUACACAGAUCAAGGUAUUAUCCUGCAUCAAAGGAAGUACAUUAAUGAAGUGCUCAAUAGAUUUAAUAUGGAUCAAUGCAAUGGAGCUAGGGUGCCUGCUGUUGGAAAUUUGAAACUGACACAAAGCUUUCGAGGAGAUUGCAGUAGAUAGUACUUUGUUUAAACAAAUUGUUGGAAGUUUGAGGUUCAUCUGCAACAGCAGGCCUGACAUAAGCUAUGCAGUUGGACUUAGAAGCAGAUUCAUGUGUAAUCCAAGAGCCUCUCAUAUGGCAGCAGCAAAACACAUAUUGAGGUAUCUUAAGGAGACAACAGGGUAUGGCUUACUGUUUCCAGUAAGCUUGAAUGAAUUUGAAGACUGUUUGGAGGCUUGGAGUGAUUCAAAUUGGUGUGGUGAUAAAGUGGGAAGGAAGAGCACCUAUGGAUAUUUCUUUUCAAAUAUCUGAAAGCACCAAUUUCUUGGUGUUCUAAGAAACAAACUAUAGUUGCUCUCUCAUCUUGUGAGGCAGAGUAUAUAGUUGCAGCAAAGGCAACUUGUCAAUGUGUUUGGCUUGAGUCUGUGCUUGAUGAUUUGAAGUUGGAUCAUGUGAAGCCCUGUGCAACUUUGUGUGGACAACCAAUCAGCCAUCAACCUUGCAAAGAAUCCAAUCUCACAAGGGAGGAGUAAACACAUAGAGACCAAGUUCCAUUUCUUAAGGGAACAAGUUGGAAAAGGAAAGCUAAAAGUGAAGCAUUGCAACACAUUGCAACACCAAGAAGCAAGUGGCCGAUAUUUUCACCAAACCACUUAGACUAGACAGAUUUGAAGAACUAAGAUAGUGGUUAGGAGUUAGAAGUGUUGCAGAAUUUAGCUUAAGGAAGAAUGUUGAAAUAAGUUAAAUAAAAGAGUUAGGUUGUUAACUCUAACUAUCCAAAACUUAAAGCUAGAUAUUUCUGUUAUCAGAAUCUUUUUAAUUCAUUUUGUUUUUAACAGCUAUAACUAACAUUGCUUGUAUUGUAUCAGUACAGUUUUUCUAAUGAGGAUGUUUCGGUUUCAAUUCCAAUUAUCAAUUAAUUCCCAACAACAUGUUUAUAAAUAUUAUAUUUUAUGGGAUUUUAUGAUAAGAAGUGAUUGAUUGAGAUGAGUUGUUUAUGAUAUGAAAUGAAAAACUAGUCAUUAUUAUAUUUGAGUGAGUACUAAAUUAUGAUAUUUAAUGAGAUAUUCAAUUUAUAGUGAUAACCUUAUAUAUAGAUGAAAGUUAUGAUAUGAUAAAAGUUAAUAAAGAUUUUUUUAGUAUUUGAUCAAAAGUGAAGUGUUAUCAAUACUCACUGCAAUGCGCGGGAAAUCAUCCUAUUAUAUGAUGUUUAUAAAAAAAAAAAAAUUAUAUCAGAAUAAGUAUAAUUACUAGGUAUAUCAAAUAUUAUAUAUAUAUAUAUUUGUAUGUUUAUUUUAAUUUACUAAUGAUAGUAAAAAAUUGUUAUAGUUUAUAGAAAGUUUUUUAACAACCAAAAAAAUAUAAUAUUUUAUUCUAUUUCAAAGAAUUAUGUAAAAAGAUAGGAAACGUUUUUAAGAAAAAUUAAAUAAAAUAUUUGCUCUAGAUAAAAGAAUUGAUAAGUUUAUUAAAUAAAAUGAAAUAAAAUAAUUUAUCAUAAAAAUAUCUAUCUCUACUUUAAUUUAUUUACUUAUAGGCUCUAGUUCUUCAUAUGAGAAUUAUAAAUGCGAUUUUAAUUCUUAUCAUAUUUUCUAAUAUUGAUUAAAGUUUGAAGCAUGAUAUUUCUCUUCCUCAAUUAUUUUCAAUUCAUCUAAUGAUUAACAAAAAUAAAUAAAAAAUAAAAAAAGAAAAAGACUUAUCAUCUAAUAAAAAAAAAUCUUGAUAUGAUUUCAUAGGUCAUUUGACACUACAAGAAAUCAUGAAAUAGAAACUAAUUUUUAGAGAUAAAAAAUAAUUAGUUGCUAUCAUGACAAAAUUAGAAACCAUUUUAGAGACUAAAAAAAUUUUAGUUUCUAAAUUAGUUUUUAUUAUUAUAAAAUGAUUUCUAAAUUGGUGUCUAAUUAACAAUCAAGGUUUUUGCUAACGGUCUCUAAUUUAGUCACUAUAACAACUAAUUAUUUGUUGUCUCUAAAAAUUGGUUUAUAUUUCAUGAUUUUCUUGUAGUGUGAGCUGGUCUUGUAAAAUCUCUUCAAAAGUCGUUUGAGGUGUCCUUGAAAAGAGUUAGAGUAAAGUCCAUAUCAAUGUUUAUUUGAUAGAUGUCUCAUGAUUUGAAUGCAAUAAAAAUGUGUUUCAUUUCAAAAUAAUUAUACAUAAGUCAUUAUAUAUUUUAAGAUUAGAAACUUUAUAUAUAUAUAUAUAUAUAUAUAUAUAUAUAUAAGUUAGGUANNNNNNNNNNNNNNNNNNNNNNNNNNNNNNNNNNNNNNNNNNNNNNNNNNNNNNNNNNNNNNNNNNNNNNNNNNNNNNNNNNNNNNNNNNNNNNNNNNNNUUAUAUAUAUAUAUAUAUAUAUAUAUAUAUAUAUAUAAAUUUAAGGGGUUAGCGGGAUAUUAUAGGAGGUUUGUUAAUUUUUAAGAUAUUUAAUUUAUUUCACUAGAAAAUAUCAUCGUUUUGCAUGGAUUAAGGAAUGUAAGAAAAGUUUUGAAAAAUCGAAAAGAAGAUUAAUUAAUGUUCUUGUCUUAACAGUCCAUGAUACAAGUCAACCUUUUGAAGUUUCUAUAAUGCUCUAUAUUAAGGAUUGUGAUGUUUUCUUUAUUGCAAAAUUAAUAGGUUCUAAAUUAUCAUAAGUAUUACAUUAAUUUAAGCACAUAAAUUAAAUAAAUUGAAGAGAAAAUAUUAUGAAAUUGAAAUUUUUUUUCACUUAGAAUGAUAAUUAAAAUAAAUUGUAUGAUCUCAUGUUAAACUUGAUGAGAUUUAGCUGGAAAUAGAAACUAAGCUAAAAUGGAGUAUCUGUUUAGCACAAGCAUGAAAAUAUAAGUGGAUUGAUGAUAGAAAAGGCAUGGAAGAAACACCUCCAACCAUUGAGCAUCUAGAGAAGCGCUGAGCGGAUCUAUAUGCCAUAGAAAGUUAAUCAAAUUAUAUGAUCUAUUGAACGAAGGCCAAGAAGCGUAGAGCAUAAAAAAAACCUAAGAACAAGGAAAGUUAAUUUGUUGAGCACAACAAUAGAGCAACUGAGUGCAUAGGAUUCUUUGAGGUGAAGAAAGUCAAUUAGUUGAGUGAUUCUAUUAUGCGUUGAAUGAAAGUUACGCAAAACAAAGUCACUGACUUAACACUAUAAAUAGAAGAUUCCAUGGUAAAAAAAAGGGUGGAAAAAGGAGGAGACAAAAAGAGAGCGAAAUUUAGUUUAAACAUGUUCUUAGUUGCUAGCUACUUGAGCUUUCAUUGCUUUGUAUUCAUCAUUAUGAGUAGCCAAGUUACUUUUAUUGAGAUUGAAAGAUAAUGUAACAUUUAUGCACUUUUUUUACUUAUGAAUGCAUGUAUGUUUCAGUCCAUUUGAUUUGAUUUUAUGUUUAAUGCCGAUAUGUGAGGGAUCACUAUUAUUGUCUUUAUAAAUUGAAUGAUAUUGGGAAAUACUUUCACCUUCUGAAUUAACUCAAAUCAUCCAAAGAUUUUAAUGUUUGGGGAUGAAAUUGAAGUGUUUGGCAUGUAUUGUUCCAUUAAUAUUGCAAAUUCAAACUAUUAUAAGUCAAGGAAUUGAUUAUGAUAGUUUGCUUUUUUAUAAAACAAUGAUUAAGGGAUUAACUUUGUUUGACUUUAGGGAGAAGUGAAUAUCAACUACAUUGCAUUUAUAAUCAUUGAGUGCAAAAGAGUUGCAAAGUUUAUUCAAUCCCAACAUCUUAUCAACUCUGAAUUCUUCUCCUUUUGCACCUAAUUUUAGCUUUAUUAAAGUUAUAAUUCAACCUCUAAUAAAGAUAACCUUUUUACAUAAUUUUGGAUGAUGAGAUGAAUAAAAAUGAUUUAUUCUCAAGUUUGUGUUAGUUUUCGGAAUCUAGGGGAAGAUAGAGAUAAGAGGACUAAAAGAAAAUGGACAAUUUAAAGACAAGAUGAAAAGACAAAGUUGGAACAUUGAAAAAUCGCUCAAGCAAGAUCACUCAAGAGGAACUCACUCAAGGCUCGCUUAAGCGAGUUCACUCUAGUGAAGUUAGGUUUUUUCUCGUGAAACUCACUUAAGCAAGCAAUAUUUUACUUGAGCUCACUUAAAACCAAACCCAAUUAGGUUAAGUAGAAGGCAUGAGACAUAACCCUAAACAUCACGGGAAGUAUAUUCAAAGAUAGAAAAUCCUAGAGGAGACAGCCGCCAAGGAGAAACACCUUAGAUUUUCUUGUUUUUCAUGCUUGUAACACUACAAAAAAAUGUUUAUAUGGUGACGGUUAUAAUAUGGCGGUUAUUAAAAAACGUCACGAUUAUCUGUAUAAUAUGACAACUUCGUAAUCAUCAUAAUUAUUUUCUAAAAUGUGGCAUUUAGAACCACCAUAAUUAUUCUUUGAAAUAAAUGCUCUCCCGCAUUUAGUUCCCUCCGUAUAAUUCUCACAAAAUUCUCAAAAUUUAUUUACUAAAACCUUUGAAAUCCCUCUUCUAUUCGAAACCCUCUCUUCUUCUCUCUGCCACUCAUCGUAUUUUCCUCGCUGCUAUCCGCCUUCUCUCUGCCACAUCCACCAUCUUCUCUUCACAAUUCACCGUUUUCUCUCCGCCACUCACCAUUUUCUCCCUGCCACAUCCACCGCUGGCUUCGUUUGCGCUAGAGUUUUUCGAAACAAACCUGUUUUCUCGCUCUUGUUUCACUUUUCACUCUCCAUCAUCUCUGCAAGUCCCGCGUUCGCUUUCAACAUUUCCGACACUUCCUCAAAUUUUUUAUUUCCCAAAACCCUAUUCUCAUCUUCAUCCCUGAUUCUCCCAAAUUUCUAAAAAUCUUAUGAAAACCUAUUCCCAAAAUCUUUUGUUUCUUUGCCUUUUCCAAUCCCCAAAUUUGAAAAGUACCUUUUUCAAAUUUCAAUUUUGAAAAGUACAUUUUCAAAUUUCAAAACUAACUAAUAUUUUCUUUUAUUUUAUGAUUUAUUUUUUAAACCACAUAUAUGCCACAUAGGUCAUAUAUGCAUAUUUUACAUUCUCCCACUUGGCCAAUGUGGCAGAACUACGUUAAUGAAAAAUAAACCAUAAACAUAAGGUUGAAAUAUCUUAAGCAUUGGUUAUAUCAUUAUAUCAUCAUUAAGUAUAGGCUAAUAUGAGUCUUAGCGGUUUUAUGUCAUUAAAUUGACAUAAUUCCUUCGAAGUAUUACAAUAUUAGUUUUCUACUUAAUAUGACCUAUAAAUGAAAGGCUCAUGAUGGUCCAACAAUAAUGUCUUAGUCACUGACAAAUCCUGUUAUAUCAACAUAACUCAUUAUGUAUAUACAACAAUUAAUUCAAUAAAAUAGGAUGCAUUAAAUAUCAGAAACAAUAAUCUAAUGAGCUUAGAGUGCCAAUACAUAAAGAACAUAAUACUCAAUCAUAAUGUCAAUAAGGGUUUUUAAUUACACCCAUUCUUUCAACAUGCUCAUUAAAUAUCUUUGGUGGCAAACUUUUUGUCAAGGGAUCUACAACCAUAAGAUUGGUGCGAAUGUGUUCAAUUGACAUAUCCAUGUGUUUAACGCCCUUUGAAUACUUGUCGUUUUUAGAAAAAGAAGACUGUUGUGAUAUUAUCACAAUAAAUUUUCAUUGGCUUGGCAAUACUAUCGACAAUUCCAAGUCCUGAAAUAAAGUUUCGUAGCCAUAAUCCCUAAAUAGUGGCCUCAAAACAUGCCACAAACUCAUCCUUCAUAGUGGAUGCAACAUAAUCUGAAUCUGAAUAUCCUAUCACCUCAAGGUGAUAAGAUCUUCUAUAAGUGAGCAUGUAAUUUUUUUGGUUCCUUGCAAUUAUCUCAAUACUUUCUUUGUAGCUUUCCAAUGAUUUAAUCUUGGAUUACUUUGAUACUUGACCAACAUUUCGACAGCAACUGACAUCUGGUAUGGUACAAGUUUUAGCAUACAUCAAGCUGCCAACGACAGAUGCAUAAGGAAUCCAUUCCAUUUCCUUGUGUUCCAACUUAUUAUUUGGACAUUGCAUAAUACUAAACUUAUCCCCUUUCUGAAUUGGAACGACACUUGUAGAGCAUUUUUCCAUCUUAAAUCUCUCAAGAACUUUAUUAAUAUAUGCUUUUUGAGACAAACCUAAUAAUCCUUGUGAUGUAUCACGAAUAAUUUCAAUUCUAAUCACAUAGGAUGCCUCACCCAUAUUUUUCAUUUCAAAGUUUUUGAGAGAAAUUUCUUGGUCUCGUGUAAUAAGCCAACAUCAUUAAUAGCAAGCAAAAUAUCAUCAAUAUACAAAAUUAGAAUUAUAAAUCUGCUCUCACUGACCUUUAGAUAUAUACAUCAAUCAACAAUAUUUUUCGUAAAUCCAAAGGAAGUGAUAGUAUCAUUAAACUUAAGAUACCAUUGUUGGGAAGCUUGUUUAACUCCAUAUAUUGACUUCUUAAGCUUACACACCAUGUGUUUUCCUUUAAUUGCAAAACCUUUAUGUUGAUCCAUAUAGACUUCUUCCUCUAAAUUCCCAUUCAGAAAAGUGUUUUUCACAUCCAUUUGAUGAAGCUCUAAAUCAUAUUGAGCUACCAAUGUCAUGAUAAUUCUAAUUAUCCUUUUCAGAAACUGGAGAAAAUGUCUCUUUGUAAUCAACACCAUCUAUCUAAGUGAAACCUUUAGCAACAAGUCUAGCCUUGUGUCUUUCAACAUUGCCUUUAGAGUCACGCUUGGUCUUAAAGACCCACUUACACCUAACUCUUUUACAUCCUUCGGGAAAUUCAACAAGAUCCCAAACUUCAUUAUGAUCCAUUGAUUUCAACUAUUCUUUCAUGACAUCUAACCACUUAAUAGAAUUACUGCUUUCAUGGCUUGUGAAAAUGAAACUGGAUCUUCAUCAAUACCUAAGUCAAAAUCUGACUCUUGUAAAUAAACCACAUAAUCAUCAGAAAUAGCAGGUUUUCUCUGCUUUCAGAUCUUCUUAAUACUGUCCCAUAUGGUUCAUUUAUUACAGGAUCAUUGGUGACAACUUCAUUUUGGGGUGUUUCAUCAUUUAUUUUUUGUUCUUGUAUGUUGCCAAAAGUUUCAACAACUGUGGGAACAACAACCUGAGUAGACGUUUUAGGUAAAGGAAUCUCCACCCUAACUUCUUCAAUUUCCACCUUACGUGGUUCGAGACUCCCACUAAUUUCACCAUUUUCAACGAACCUUGCAUUUCCAGUUUCAACAAUUCUCGUACUAUGGUCAGGACAAUAAAAUUUAUACCCUUUAGAUUUUUUUGGAUAACCAAUGAAAAAACCAUUAGUUGUUCUUGAAUCCAGUUUCUUUUCUUGUGGAUUAUAUAUUUUUACUUCUGAUGGGCAACCCCAAACAUGCAAGUGUCUCAAACUGGGUUUCCUUCCUGUCCACAGUUCAAAAGGUGUCUUUGAAACUGCCUUAUUGGGAACCCUGUUUAACAAAUACAUGGCGGUUUUCAAAGCAUACAUCCACAAUGACAAGGGUAAAGAAGAAUAAAUCAACAUACUCCUACCAUAUCCAUUAAAGUACGACUGUGCCUUUUUGCAACACCAUUUUGUUGUGGUGUGCCUGGCAUUGUAUAUUGGGCACAUAUGCCAUAGUUUUCUAGGAACUUAGCAAAUGGACCAGGAUGUUGUCCCAUUUCAUCAUACCUUCCAUAGUAUUCUCCUCCUCUAUCAGACCUGACAAUUUUCACUUUUCUAUCUAAUUGUCUUUCAACCUCAUUAAUAAAUACCUCUAAGGUAUCUACUGACUGAGAUUUCUCAUGCAACAAAUAGAUAUAUUCAUAACGUGAAAAAUCAUCAAUGAAUGCGAUAAAAUACUUUUCUCCACCAAAAGAUGAAGCAUCAAAAGAUCCACAUAUAUCAGUGUGUAUAAGUUCAAGGAGGUGUGAGCUUUUUGUGGCUGUUUUCUUAAUUGUGUGUUUUGUAUGUUUUCCCUUAAUACAAUCUACACAAAUACCAAUAUCAUUAAAAUUGAAACCAGGUAGGAUUUCAUUCUUUACCAAUCAUUGUAUUCUUUCUUUGGAUGCCACAAAUAAGCUGAACUUUCAUUCACUAAAUCGCGUUUAGUACCAAUAUUAUGAUGCAAGGUUAAUAGAGUCUCAACGAACGGAUUAUCAAGUUUUAAUUUGUAUAAACCAUCACCAAGAACACCAUAACCAAUAAAAUGAUUAUGUUUAAACAAACUGCAACAUCCAUUUCCAAACUUAAAAGAAUAUCCAGUUGUAUCAAGUUUAAACAAAGAAAUUAAAUUUCUAGAAUUGAAGGAACAUAAAGAGUUUGGAAAAGAUCUAAAUGAUGUCUAGUAUCUAAAAUUAAAUGGUAAGUUCCAAUGGCUUCAACUGAAGCUUUGACUCGAUUUUCCAUAAACACAAAUCUUUCAUUUGGGCUUGUGGUUUAGGUCAUAAUAAAUCCCUGCAUCGUAUUAGAAACAUGAGUGGUACAACCAGAAUCAAUCCACCAAGUAUUAUAAGGAACUUCUGCCAAAUUUGAUUCGAAACAUACGAAAGCACUAGGCUUACCUUUCUUUUUGAACCAUAUCUUACAUUUCAGACAAUUUUUCUUAUAGUGUCCAAUUUUCAUACCAAAAUGACCCACGUCCUUCUUUUGUUCUUUGUGGAUUUUGGCUGAUGACUCAUUAACCUUUAACGGUCCUUUAUAGCCCCCUUUGAUUCUUCUUUCUUCUUUCCUAGUUUCUUCUUAUCUCCUGACUUACCCACAAUAUUGACCAAGUGAUUUCCUUACUUCUUGAGUCUUUCUUCCUCUUGAAUAAGUAAACUUUGCAAUUAUGUCACAUUCCAUUUAUCUUUAAUAGUGUUGUAAUUAUUUGGAAUGGACCAUACUGAGGAGGCAAAGAAUUCAUGAUGAAUUGUACAAAGAAAUUUUCAUUCACUUCCAAUCCCAUAGAUUUCAAUCUUGCUGCUAUGUUUUUCAUUUCAGUGAGGUACUCAUGCAUUGUACGACCACCAUCAAACUUCAUGGUAGUUAACGUACCCAAUAAUGUCCCAGCAAUUGACUUAUCAGACUCAAACAUACUUUGAGAAAACAACACUAACAAUAAUAAAAUUUACAUAGUAUGACUCCAAUUUGAUGUCAUUGUUUGCAAUAACAAAGUAUAAUUCUUUAUGCUUCCACUUCUAUAAUUGUACUUUAACAUUUAGUGUUAUUAUAUAUAACUCAUUCAAACUAUACUAUUGAAGAAUAAUUUAUUACUUUUAUAUCUAUGAAAUCAAAUCAAUCUUGAAUCAUCAUAAAGAAGAAUAAUCUACAUUUCAAAUGCAAUAAAUUAUUAAAGCAAACCCUUAAAGGCAUUAAGCAGCGGAAAUAUAUAAUUGAUAAAAUUAUCAAUUUUCUCAUCAACAAAAUUAAGGUUAUCAAUUAGUGGAAAUAAAUGACAAAAAAUAAUGGAAAAUCAUAUGUUCUUAAACCUAGCUCUGAUACCACAUGUAAGAAUUUUCUUAAAAACUGUUUGAUCUUAGAACUAUAUGAUUUUCACAAUUUCAUAAAUAUAAAUAUGCACCUUGAUCCAUGUAGAUUUGUUCUUCAAUAUGUUGACAAUAGAUGAUCACAAAAUUGGUUUUCUUCUUCUUGACUCUUUUCUCACUUCUACAAAACUUUCUGAUGGAGAAGAAAGUCUCUCACGUUCUUGGUUGAAGGAGGACUUCUUUUAAAAAAAACUCUUAUCAGCACAUACCAUCAAUGUGCCUAAAAUAUAAAUUUCAAAACUACAUUUUUCAAAUUUCAAAUUUGAAAAGUACCUUUUUAAAUUUCAAAAUAUGAAAAGUACCUUUUCAAAUUUCAAAACUAACUAAUAUUUUUUAUUUAUUUUAUGAUUUAUUUUUUAAAUCACAUACAUGACACAUGACACAUAGGUCAUAUAUGCAUAUUUUACCUUGAAAGUUUUGUACAUGAGUGGUGUGAAUUGAACCAAUCUAACAUGCUCUAAUUAACAGAGCAACAACCAAAGGUUUAUAUUAUUAUAUUAUAAUUAUGACUUGAUGUUUAGUUAAUUAUCUAACUAUGAUGACCACGCUUAUUUAUGACUUCACAUAACUGGUCGGUUGUAGUUAGUUAUGAUUUUUGCCUUGUAUCAUAAUGUAUUGUUUAGUUAAUUCAAAUAAAUUAUGCAUAAGUUAGUACUUAUAACUAAUAUGUAAAUUCCUGCUUGCUAUUAUUUGAAUAUCUCAAGUUUCAUGAAUUCUUAAAGCUAGAAAAUGAAAUUGGAAAUAUUACGAGACAAGAAGCUGCGAGCAUUGUGGGCUAAUUUACAUUUUGUCUAUCAUUAUUCAUGAUCGUAAAAAAGGACCAGCUUUUGUUCUAAAUAGCGGUAUGACUUAGUGCAUGUAUUUUACUUUAUAAGCUUACCUUUCAAGAAUUUAAAUUGUGCAAGUAUUUCAUAUUUAAUCCUAAUGGUUUCUUUAACUUUCUUUUUUGUUAUUCUUGAGUUGCUAAUUACCACACGAUGUAGUUUAUCAUGAAGGUGUGCCGAAACAUUUUACUAAUUACCACACGUGCCAACUUUUUGCUUCAUUUAUAUUUUAAAAAUUGAAAAUUAACUCUAGAAAUAUUUUUAUUUAUUCAGACAUUGGAUGUUGGAAGUGGUGCUCUAUCACCAAACGAGAAUAUUAAAGGAUCAAGUGGAGGCAUCAAGACAAAUUAGGACUACGACUUCACUUGUAAUAUGUUAAAAUAAUGAAAUAAUUGAUAUUUUGACAAUUUAAUUUACUUGUAGUUUGGAUUAGUUUAACAUUAUCAACUUUGUUAUCUAAAUGAAUAAAUGAAGUGAUCUUUUGAUUAUUAUAUUUAUCAAUUUUAAUUACAUUAUGAAGUUUAAUUAUAUUAUAUUUAUGUUAUGAUUUAGUUAUAUUAUGAAAUUUAAUUGUAUACUGGAAUUUAAGUAUAAUAUGAAAUUAAAUUAUAUUAUAAAUUUAAAUUAUAAAACAUAAUUGAAUAAAUUAUUAAAAAUUAUAAAAAUAAAAAUAAAUAAAUAUUUCAUUCUUGAAUUACAACCGUUGUAAUAGUUAUUAUCAAUGUCAUAUUAUAAUGUAUUAAGUGGCAUUUAAAACUGCCGUUAUUUACACUAAAAUUGGUUUACCCAAAUUCAAAAUUGUGACAUUUAUAACUAACAAUAUUACGUGCUUAAAACCGUAUUUUAUAUAAUGUAUUAUAUGGCGUCUGCUACAACAGUUCUCAAUUGACCAUCACAUUAAACUUUGUGGCAGCAAGAAUUCUGGCGGUACGCGGUAGGCGGUACCGCCACACGCGUAUAAUGUGGCGGUUAUAAAAGCCAGGUUAUACAAAAAUAACCGUCACCACAUACACAUUUUUUUGUAGUGUAAUGACCAAUAUGAGUGACUAAGUGUUCCCUUUGAGAUUGGAAGUAAUUUGUUCAAACUCUUAUGUAUUUAGGUGAUAUUUUUUUUAUAAUAUUUUAUUCUUGAUUGAUGAUUGAUAUUAUCAUUUUAUUCUUAAAGUUUGAAUCUUUAUCCAUGAUUUUGAUCCUUAGAUUUGACUGAAAAGUACUUCUAAAUAUCUGACCUGAAUGAUAAUGUUUAACAUAUUUGAAUGCUAGGAAUUUAUUUGAAAUGUUAAUUGCUUUAUAACAUUUGUUCGUAAUGAUAAGACGUUUUUAUAAAUAUGCGAGAAAUCAAUAUUUAGGAAACAAUCUUAAUAAUUUUGUAUGUGAGGAAUCAAUAUGAAUUAUUUUUAUAUGUGCAUCAAUGUCAGUCAAGAUAGAAUGUUAUAUGUUUUUAUUCAUUGAAAAUACAAACGAGUAAGAAGGAUUAACCACAAUCUCAAUUGAAUCAUCCAAAUCAUUUACUUUGUUUUUAUUUAAUUUCUUACAAAUUCAUAAAUUCAUGAUUUGGCCCAUUCACAAAGGUAGAUGCUUCCUCUAGAUAAUUUACUCUAAAAACACAAAAUUAACAAUAAUAAUAGUUAAGGCCCAUUUGAUAUCCGUCGAAAAAUUUAUUACAUCUGACUCGGUACAGUUGUCGAAUUAAAGAGUCAUUAAGCUUUUAAAUUACUGUGAGUGUGAAUAAAUAUAUGCUCAUCAGAAAUCAAAUAUUAUUGCAGAUGCUUUGAGUCACAAGAAGAUACAUGUGUCAUCAGUUAUGGUUAGAGAGUUUGAGUUAAUUGAGAAAUUCAACAAUUUGAAUUUGAAGGUUUCUAUAUCUUCAUUAUAUUAGAUACAAUAUGCUUGUUAUAACUAAUGAGUUCUUAGAAAAAGUGAGAGUGAAGCAGAAUAAAAGCUUCUCUACGGGAGUGAGGGAUAUCUUAAGAUUUAGAAACAAAAUAUAUGUUCUAAAGGAUGAUGAAUUUAGGGGUGACAAUGCGAGACGACUAUAGUAGUGAAUGUUUAAUAGAGUCAUUUGAAAUACGUUUGUAGAUAUUUCUUGAUGAAUAUCCUUUGAUGUAUAGAUAUCGUUAUGUAUGUUUAUGUUUAAUAGAAUUGAAUUCAUUGUGAAUUGAUAAUUAAAAUAUUUUCUUUUAUAUACAUUUAUUUUAUGUUAAAAAUUUAUUUUAAUAAUUUACCUUUGUAUAUAUUGUUUGUAUAGUGAUUUAUUAUGAAUAUACUGUAUAUACAAAAAAAAAUAUAUAAGUAUAAUUUUAGAGUCGUAUCUCAAAAAGACUGAAGAAAAAUCUAAAUUAUGUUUUUGAAAAAAUAUAAAACAUAAAUAUAUGUACAUAUAUUUUAUUAUAUUUAAUUAUAUAUAUAUAUAUAUAUAUAUUGUUAUAUUUAAAUUUCUUUUGAAAUACUAUAUGUUUUGUAAAAAUCCUCCCUAUACUCUCUGUUGGAACUAUACUAAAUUACAUAAUUUUGUAAACAUUUUAAAUGACAAUGUAUUAAAAACAUUUUAAAUGUUAUGUAUCUAUACACUACAAGAAAAACUUGAUUUAGCUUUCAAAUUUUUGCGUGGGCCAUUUGCGGACGCUACUCUCGUCGGCCAAAAUGAGUAAAAUUCCACGCAAGAUUUACAAUGGACGCAAAACGGACGCAUAUAUUGAUUUAAUUUUUUUUUUUUUGCGUCGGCCGCGACCCACGCAUAGGCGUCGAUUUUGCAUCGGCCGCGGCCCACGCAUAUGCGUCCGUUUUGCGUUGCCCACAGAAUCCACGCAUAUGCGUCCGCUAUAGCCCACGCAUGUUUAGAAUUUUAAAAUUUACAUAUUUUUAAUGUAUAAUAAAUAUUUUAAUAUUUAAUUCUUUAUUAUAUUUAUUUUAGAAUUAUUUAUUUAAUGUUAUAAUAAAUUAUUUAAUUUAUCAAUUUUGAAUAUAAAUUAAUUAAAUUAGAUUUAUUAAAUUAAAUAAGUGCUUGAUUUAAAAUUAAUUGAGUAAAAUAAAAUAUAUAUUUAAAUUAUUUAAAUGUUAUAUAAAAUAUUUGUUUAUUUUAAAUAUUAUUUAUUUUAAAUUUAUUUUAUUUAUAUAUUGUCAUAACUAUUUUAUUUUUGAAAUUAUGAUAUAAAUUAGUUAAAUUAAAUUUAUUAAAUUGAUGAUAAUAAUAUUAAAUUUAUUAAAUAUUAAUAUUAAUACUAAUAAUAUUAAAUUUAUUAAAUAUUAAUAUUAAUACUAAUAAUAUUAAUAAUAUGUAUAAUAUGUAUAAUAAUAUUAAUAAUAAUGUUAAUUAUAAUAUUAAUUAUAAUGUUAAUUAUAAUAUUAAUUAUAAUGUUAAUAAUAAUGUUAAUAAUAAUAUUAAUAAUAAUGUUAAUAAUAAUUUAAUAAUAAUGUUAAUAAUAAUUUAAUAAUAUGAGUAUAAUUUAUUUUAUUAUUAUUAAUAAUAAUUAUAUUAAUAUGUAUAAAUUAUAUUAAUAAUAAGUAUAAUAAAAAUGAUAAUAUGACCAAAGAAGUUGUCUGGUUUAGUGGUUAAUGCUUCCGUGCUUACUGCAUGUCUCUUUAUCGUUCGACAGUUUUAUGUCGGGCGUCCUUUUGGCGCUCAAUGUCGCUCCUACCCAACUUCACCCAAACACUUGGACGUCUGAGUGUUAAUUGCAGAUUUCUAGGGAGGAUUGAAGAUUUGGAGUAAAGGAGAAUAAUUUGAGCUAAAAAGAGAAAGCUGGAAGGUCCCAAAAUGGGAAAAGAUUGAGCCUUUUUUUAUGUUUUAUCACUUAGCCCAUUAGCACGACACAUGAAGCAACCUAGCCCUAGAAAAUUAGGAUAAAUAGGGGGCUAGAGGCUCAACCCUAGUGUCUCAGAUUGAGACGAAAAUACCAUAGAGUGAAUUGUAACCCAAUUGGGAGAAUGAAAGGUGUUAGAAGUAUGCGUGACUAUUCUACCCUUUGGGAUUGGGAGUAAUCUGCUCAAACUAUUAAGUAUUGAGGUGAUAUCUUAUAUAUUAAUAUUCAGUUCUUGAUUGAUUAUUGGUAUUGUUGUUUUAGUUUUAACUUUCCGUGACAAAUAGAGAAUCCUAAAUCUGACCGGGAGGUAUUUUUAGGGUUUGGACCUAAACAACAAUACUUAACAUAUUUCAGUGCCAGGAAUAGACUUGAAAUGUUAAUUGCUAUUAACGUCUGAGCUUCGUUCUAAGUUUUUCUUAUAAUUAUGUGAGGGAUCGAUAGUUAGGGAACAUUCUUAAGGAUUUUAUAUGCGAGGAAUCGAUAUAAAUGAUUUUUAUACGGGCAUCAAUUUCAAUCAAAAACUUAAUAUUGACAUGCUAAUCAAAAUACAUGAGAGUGAGAGAGAUGAAACCUAAUCCCUAUUUUUCCAACUUGAAGCAACCAACUCUUUGUCUGUUUUCUUAUUGAUCAUCGCCAACACAACCACUUUCAAUACACUUUUAAUUGUUUUGUUCUAUAUUUAGCGAUUAUUGUACUUGAUAAUUCAUUGUUCCUUGUAGGAUCGAUAUCCGUCCUUAGGGACAAUUAUUACUUUUGACAAAGUAGUGCACUUGCCAUAAAAAGUCAUCAGCGUCCAUUCAGGCCUUCUUCCUGAUAUGCGACAUUUUUCGGCUCUGACCUACUCCUUCUUGUUUUCUAUGUCAUUAUGUGUCUCAUCCGACCGAACCAAUCAUAUUGCAUUCGUUGGUAAGUCGGUCGGGGAAUGUUUUGUUUAACGCCUUCACCACCUCCUAAAAGAAUUUCAAGGAAAAGUUCAAGGUUGUCAUUCAUCAGGAGAGCACCUCAUAUUAUUUUAAUCGAAAUGACCUUUCGAGGUUUCCUAUGUUUUUUACUAGGAAACCUCGGAAGUUUAAAGAGUGGCCUCGCUCAGAUUCGACUGCCGAGGAGAAGGAGAUUCUUUUUCUCUUUGACAAGCUUCCCCGGAAACUUCCCACACGGAAGUUGAUUGCGCUGUACGGGGAAACACAACGUUGGGCGACCUUUAAGGGUAUGAUAGUUUUCACUAGUCUCGGUCGGAUAUUUUGUUUUCAACUGACACCUUUGUACUCUUGUGCAGAAAUAAUGACUAAGGAAUUUCCUUCAUCCGGCGACAUGUUAGACUUCUUCAAGAUAUGGGCCGCAGAGCGUAAAGGUCGGUCGUGCAUAGAGGUCGUGGCUCCUGGGAAGGAGGUGGUUGCUGGUGCUGACCCUUCUAGGAAAAGACUAAGGGAGGGAGGUAAUACAGUCAGGACUAAUUGGUCUUCUGGCUCAUUGCCAGUGCCCCCUCCUCGACGUGGCGGUCCUAUUAAUGUCGACUCUCCGUCACUAGGGGAGCUCGACCAGCCCCUGCCUCUUCCCGCUGCCGAGGCCAUUCAAGUAUCACCCCUAUCGAUGUUGGGGGUGACUUGUAGUGUGCACGGGGAGUGCAGGUUGGCUUGACUGCCCCUACCAAGGAGCUCCUCCGUGUCGUGCCUACCGACGAUUGUCUACGCAGCGGUGUCUCGGCUUGAGCAUCAACUGGCUGAGGCUAUGGGUAACUUGAAGCAGUCCCUCGCGGUCAAUACUGAGUAUUCAGAAAAGUUGGCCCCAGAGGCUGCUGAAAGGGAGAUUGCCCAGGAUCGGGCGGCAAUAUUGGAGCGGCAGCUGGCCAAGAGCACAGUUGAGGAGGCUCAGCUGAAGAAGAUGGUCGAGGAGGCGAAAAGGAAGAACUUGGUACUGCAGGUCGAGGCAUCUGGUCUCGGGAAGGACAAAGAGGCUUUGGAGGUCGAGUUAGAAAAAUUAUAUGAAGACACUCUGGAAUUGACAAACCGGAGCUUCCUCCAAGUCGUCCACCAGGCCCAUGUCCUCUACAACGGUCCACCACCGGUUGGUGAUUUCGAUCCCGAGAUAGAGGUGUUCGAGGGUCGUGUUCUGUCACGUGCCGAGGUGAAGGCCUUGAAGAGCGCGACACAACCUGCAUCGACCGAAGGUGAUGAAGACGAAGAUUCGUGUCUUAGGUUUCUAACAUUUUGUUUCCUUCGGCCGGGAUGUGGCCUUCUGUUACUUUUCCUCCUUGGUCGGGGUGUGGCUUCGUCCUCUUCUUUUUCAAUGAAUCGGUUGUUUCUUCCUUUUAUACAUUGCUUACAACUGAUAAAUCAACCAAGUUAAAAAACACUGUCAGAAUAGUUUAAAUGAUCUUACAAAAUUGCAUGUUAAUUAUGUGUCGGUAUGAGAAGUCGGUUAACGUUUAUUCCUUAUACAAGUGGUGUUUGGUACCGGCAGGAUAUUCCGGUCAAGACUCCUUCCAGACCGCACCACGUGUUUGAGGUGUCGGCAGGAUAUGUCGGUUAAGGCUCCAUCCAUAUCGCACCGCAUCUUUGAGGUGUCGGUAGGGUAUGUCGGUUAAGGCUCCAUCCAGACCGCACCGUGUCUCAGAGGUGUCGGCAGGGUAUGCUGGUUAUGGCUCCAUCCAAACAGCAUCGUGUGAUUAUAAAUGCGAAAAAAUAAUUAAGAGCAGAGUUGAAUAAAAACUCCUCGUUAAAACCUGACCGGCUGAAAACCCUCCUUAUGGAAAAACAACCGGACGAGGAAAGAGUGCGUAAAUUUUAUUGCCUUUAACUAUAAUAAAAUUUGAGAUGCAUAACAUUCCACGUCCUUGGUACAAUUUUUCCCGAUAACCAUUCUAAAUGAUACGCCCCCAGCAGCAACGUCUCAGACUUAGAACGAUCCCUCUAAGUUGGACGAGAACUUGCCUUCGUUCUUCCUUGCUUCGCUCCUCAUCCUCCAGACAAGGUCUCCUUUCUUGAAAGUCCUCGGUCAGACUUUGGUAUUGUAACGCCAUGCUGCACGUAGUUUGCAUGCGGCCUCUUGGAUUUUGCUUUUGUCCCGGAGUUCGUUUGACAAAUCCAAUCCGACCGAUAGGCUUUCUUCAUUAAGGUUGAGGUUGAACAUUUGUCUCCAGAUGGUGGGUUCCCCCACCUCGACCGAUAUCAUCGCUUCGGUACUGUAUGUUAAGCUAUACGGUGUUUCUUGUGUGGGCAUCUUGGGGGUACAGCGGUAUGCCCAAAGGACUUCCAAUAGCUCUUCAGUCCAUCGCCCUUUCGUUUUGCCUAACCGUUUCUUUAGCUCGUUUAGUAUGACUUUGUUAGCAGCUUCAGCUUAUUCGUUCGCCUAGGAUUGCUCGACCGAGGCUAUUAUUGAUUUGAUGCCAAGGUCCUCAUAGAAUGACUAGAGCCCUUUUUCAAUUAACUGUCGGCCAUUAUCAGUGAUGACGAUAUGCGGGACUUCGAACCGACAUACAAUGCUGCGCCAGACAAAACUUUGUACGUUCUUGGCCGAGAUAGAGGCGAGUGGCUCGACCUCAAUCCACUUGAUGAAGUAGUCGACUCCUGCGAGGAGGAAUUUCGUUUGGCCUUUUCCCGGGGUGAAUGGACCGAUGAUGUCCAUUCCCCAGACGGCGAAAGGCCACAAAGAUGUCAUGUUGUGGAGCAUUUCUGGCUUGAGGUGACGUAGGGGGCCAAACUCCUGGAACUUGGUGCAUUUCUUCACGUAUUCCGCACAAUCUCUUUGAACGGUCGACCAGUAAUAGCCGGCUCAAAUGAAUUUUGCAGCCAUCGUUCGCGCCCCUAAGUGAUUAUCGCAUACUCCUUCGUGUAGCUUGCUAAGAACAUACUCGGCCCUGUCCUUAGUGAUGCACUUCAGCAGCGGCCUUGAAUAGCCUCUCCGAUAGAGGUUCCGAUUGAUCAUUGUGUACCUUGAACAUUGUUGCUUCAUAGCUUUCUCCUUUUCCGGUUUGCAAGUGCCAUGUUCAAGGUAUUGGACGAUUGGGGUCAUCCAGCUUUCGGCCUUUGACCGUUAGGCAUUCGGCCUCUGUCUCACUAGGUUGUUUUAACCAAAUUUGAAUGACAGAUUUGUGGUGGCUCUUCCUUUUGGUUGUUGCAACCGAGACAACGCAUCGACUCUCGUGUUGUCUGCCGGCAGAUAUGGUCCACCGUUACCUUUUGAAAACACGCGACACUGCUCUUCACCGUAUGGUAGUACCUUUGUAACAAAGGUUCUUUCACCUUGAACUCCCUCUUGACCUGACUGACCAUCACCUGGGAGUCACUUUUGCAUGUCACUUCUCGAGCUCCCAUGCCGUAGCGCCGUGAGCAUGUGAUGCAUGACCACGUCCGAGCUAAGGUUGCGGAUGUUCAUGGCUACUUUUCCAAUCCUGUCAAUGAACACCCUCAACGAUUCCCCUUUCUCCUGCCAGAUGCCAACUAGGGCUAUUGAAGUUAGGUGAUGAGGCCGACUAAUGGCAAUUUGCGUGUCAAACUUUGCAACCAGGGUCUCGAAAGAAUCUACAAAAUUCAGAGGGAGCUUUGUGAACCAGCUCAAAGCUCCUCCCUUGAGCGAGGUGGGGAACACUCAACACAGAACCGCGUCGUCCGAUGUAUACAAUCUCAUGUGCAUAGUGUACGCGUCCAUGUGCUCAUCAAGAUCAGUCGUGCCAUCAUAACGGUCCCUUUGAAUCCCUUCAACUUAUCCGGCAGUGGGGUUCCUAUGAUGAAGUCAGUGAACGGGUGUCGAUGGCUGGAGCCUGUAGUCCCGGUCAUGUUCAGUGACUUGUUAGGAUGGGAUUCACCGUCCAUCUCUAAGGUAAGAACCUUGUUCCUCUGCUCCUCGGCUGCUUUGGUAUCGAUAGUGGUGGUGAAGGACCUGCCGACUAAAUUGUUCGGGUCAACAAAUGGUCCUCCCUCCAUAAACUUCUUCAUUUCAGCGUUCUCCUUUCGUAGAGCCAUGAUCUCUUCCUCAUUCUUCUUAGCAUCUUCUUCAUGCUUCCUCUUCAUAUCGGCCAAUUCUUUUUUGCAAAGCCAUCAACAUUGCCGUCUGGUUUGCCUCAGACAUCUUCUCGCUCGCCAUGCUUCGGGUUGAUACCAUCUACCAAUGCUUCUUCACACGAAUUCUCUCGGCCCCACAGUGGGCGCCAAUUGUUCUCGAACGGGGUUUGAGACCCAGAGAACUAUUGGUAUCAACGAUCUUCUAACACCUGUCGGUCGGUCGUGCUAGUCUUCAACCUCCUUCCUUCUCGUCACACCUCUGAGUCGUCUCGGGCACAGACUCGAAUGGUACCUGCAGAAGGCACUCCGACGCUCAAGUCAGCAAAGGUGUCGGCACUCGGUUAUCAGAGUACUGUAGAUAAUGACGUACCUGAUUCUUGGAAUCUGUGCUAUUUAUAUUACCUUAAUGGGCCUCUGUGAUUGGGCCGGAUUAGGGAGUUGGGCUGUGCUAUUUAGCGCUUAAUCUGUGAUUAGCUUUGCUGACUUCCUUUAAGCGCUUUGAGAUAGGUCGACCUUCUCGAGGGGGUCAAGAUCUCGGUCGUUCUGAGGAACGGGCCGUGAGGAUGCUUGUUCUGUGAAUCAGUUAAGGUAUCGGUCGGUCUAGUAAGGAAUGACCGACCCACUUAACCAUUUGUACAGUCCAUACCAGUAUAGAAAUGUUUGCAACAGUCACAAUAAUUUCAAUGGGACAACCAUUUGGUGGCUAGUCAAUUCAAUAAUAAAAGAAAGCAAAAGUAUCUAUACUUUGUCUUGUAUUAAUCUUAAUUUUUAGUUAAUUAAUUAAUUUAAUAAUUUAUAAUUUUGAAAUAUUUUUAUUCAAUUAAAGUUUUAAAUUUUUAAUUUUAAUUAGUGGUGACAAAGCGAGGUGAUGGGUUCUAUCGGAGCCCAUACAAAACACGUAACACAAACUCAUUGUUUUGGUAUGCUGAUCCGUUUAAGCCAGUCUUGCAUCACCCAUAACUCGCACAGACCAGGUACGGGACGGGGCGGCUCAACCCGCUAGUCCGGAUAAUAAUAAUAUGAUGUUUCUUCCUGCACCCUAUCAAUUUUAGAAAUUGAAUUCCAAAAGUCAAAAUAGUUACUCUAUAUUUUGGAAAGUAAGAUAACUAUUCUAAAAAGGUUAUUUUGGAAUAUUUUUUCCCAUUUGAUUUCCAUUCACUACAAGAAAAAGUGCUUUUAGAAACUAAAUUUUUUGUUUCUAAAAUGAUAAAAUUAGUCACUAACGUAAUUAAAGACUAAUUUAGAAACUAAUUGUCUUAAGUGGCUAAAAUCAUGGUCACUAAUUUUAGAUACCAAUUUAGAUUCUAAUUUAGAAACCAAUUUAGUUACCAUUAAAAUAAAAACCAAUUUAGUGACCAAAUAUAUAAAAACUAAUUUAGUGACCAAUUAUAUAGAAACCAAAUUAACAACCAAUUAUAUAGAAAUCAAUUUAGUGACCAAAAUAUAUAUAAACUCAUUUAGUGACCAAAUAUAUAAAUACCAAAAAAUGGUCACUAUAUUGGUCUCGAAAUAAUAUAAUUUAUUAUAAAAAAUUUAAUUUUUAUUUUUUUAACUUUUAUUUUAUUUUAUAUUUUUUAUGUUUAGUACUAUCAAGCAACAAAGGGAUGGUGAUGAACUAAGUGGAGAUUGUACAAAUUUACUCCUACAAUUAAUAAUUAAUUAAUUCCCCUAGAAGUGGGAGGGUACUAAUAAGAAUAAAAGUGCUGAAAAUGUUUUUGUAGUAUAUGUUUGUAGGUGGUCUGAAAAGGCAAAAGGCAGCCCUUCGAGUGAAACUCCAAAAAAUGAAACACAUAGUAGUGCUCCAUCUAUCGUUACCCACACACUGACAACAAUAUCAAUCCAUCAAAGGUGUGUUACUAGUGCAGUGCUAGUCCAUGCUCAGUAACUUCAAUUAAUAACUCAUGAUUCAGCUCAGCUGCAUUAGUGGUAUCUUCUUGAACACUCAGCUAGUAGGAAAUGCCCUCAAAUGUUGGUAGAUAAGUACACAAUGACAACCUAAUGCAAUUCUCAUCAAAUGCAAGCACUUUUAGACCUGUGAAUGCAUCCUCAAUCUACUUGACAACUUCAAACCUGAACAAGGGAACAAGUUGAGUAAGUUGUGACACAGAAUUACAGAUAAGCAUUUGAAGUGUAAGUGAAAGUUGACUCACCACUUGACUCUGAACUGAAGAUUCUACAGAUACUUUAGAAUCAACUUCAUUUCAUCAAUCUUAUUUUCAAGUUCAAAUUGCUGCAUCAUAUGAGACAAAAGAUCUUUAUAAAUCUCAUAAUCUGCAUCUUUUUUAAACUAAUUCAAUCCAAUUCAAUUCAAUUCAAUCCCCAAGAAGAAACUAAAUAGGAAGUAACAUGGAUUGUCAGUGUCAACUAUACCUUUAAAUUUUUGUCUAGAUUUUCCGCGGCUAAAUUUGAAGAAUCAUAUUCUAGAAUUGAGGAAUCGAUGCCUCAUGUAUGUUCUUCUGAUCCUGUAAUUAUUAAAAGCUAAUAUAAAAACAUGAUAACUACAUGAAACCCGAAACAGUAUAAAACACAAACAAGUGCUUAAUUUCUAAAAAAAACUCACUUGAGUAAGUUAAGUAGUUGCAGAAUUGAAUGGUGAGCAUUUUGGUUCUGAAAAUAGCAGCCAGACAUUAAAUAAAAAGACAUAAAAUAUAAACAAAAGAAGCCAAGCUUCAAUGCAACCAAAUUUUUUAUAAAGACCCACUCUCAAUAACAGGGGAAUAUGCAAAAUGUUUGGUACAUCAUGGAUGUUCAGAAUAUUCUCAAUCUGCAAAAAAUCAUACAGAAAAUAUAGAUCAAUUAACCGAUAGAACAAAACUCUCAGACAACUGAGCUCGGUUCACCAACAACUUACUGGAACAUGGCAAAAUUUUGAGAGUUUUUCCUUGGUACUUUCUAGAAGAGGCUGCCAGAUUCAAGAACAAAGUAUUUCAGUUUCUAAUAUAACCAAACUAGCAUCAAAGACAACAGGAAAAGUCAAAACAGAAGAAAACAUUUCAAAAACACUGAAUUCACAAUUGAUUUUAACAAAUAGAAAAGAUGAACAUAAUGAAGUUCAAGCAAUCACCAUAUUCUCCUAAGAAUAGAAUUAUUGAGGUAAGAAUGCGUCUUAACAUAAUAGCCCCAAUUGUAACAACAUAAUUUCACUGGGGAAGCAAAAGCUAAAAAAAUUCAACAGAUGCUCUUACGUAGCUUUGCAUAGUACUCAAUUUGUCCUGUUUUACGGAGAAAUCAUAUUUCCUGAAACAAAAAAAUAGUACUCCGAGUUAAUGAAAUGAGAGAGAAAAGAAAUUUAGGAUUUUAAGAUGGGGAAGAUACAGUGAGUAAAGUUGUGAAGCUUCGAUGACCAAGAAAAAAAUAAAAAAAACAAAGAGCAAAAUGGGGCAUAAAUUAAUGGAGCGAGAAUGAAACUUACGAAGGGUGCGUUGUCGUCGGGUGCAUUGCCAACACAGGUGCGUUACCGUUGCGGGUGCAUUGCCGUUGCGGCUGUGUUGCCGUCAAGGAUGCGUUGCCAUCGCAGGGUGCGGUUCCGAUUGGUUGCAGAGUGUUGCUGAGAGUGAGAGAUGAGUAGAAAAGUUAAAUAGAGAUAAACUUUGAAAUUCAAAUUCCUCGAAACUAUGCUCAAAUUUAAAAAAAUUAAAUAAUUUUUUGAAAAAUAUGUAUAUUAAUUUAAAUUGAUUUAUUAAAUUUUUAAUUUAAAUAAUAUUUUGAAUUGAUUAUUAAUUUAAUUUUAUAUUUAAAUAAAAUUAAAAGAUUAAAAUACUAUUUUAAAUGUAAUUUUUAAGUUGAUAUUAAUUAUUUUAAUAUUAUACUAAAAUUAAUAAAUUAGUAAAUUUAUUCAUAUCAAUUUAAAAUAUUUUAUAAAUUAAUAAUUAAUAAUUAGUUUUAUAAAAUUUAAUUAGUCCAAAAUUAGUAUCAUAAAUUUAAAUAAUAGUGACUAAAAAUUUAAGUAUCUAAUCAUAUGAUGAUUAGAAACUACAAAAUUAGUUUCUAAUUUUAUUUCUUUUAGAGACAAAAAUUAGUUUCUAAAAUAGAUUAAAAGUGACUAAAAAAAUGGUUUUCAUUUACAUUUUAACAAGAGACAAAAAAAUGGUUUCUAUAUAAUUUUUUUUUAUUCUUAAUUAUCAAAAAUAUAGUAUCUAAAUUAUAGAAACUAUUUAUUUUUUUAUUUCUAAAUUAGUUAUCAUAAAAUCAUUUUCUUGUAGUGAUUUAUAGAAUUGACUUUAUGUUAUGAAAAUUAAAUUUUAAAAUUAAUGAGAUACAAGAGAAAAUUGAAUGGAGUACAGGAAAAAAAUCAUAAUAAAAAGUACAAAAUUGUGUGUUCAAACGUUUGGUUUUUAUCAACAUGUAUUUUUGUCACUCCAAACACCUUUUCAAUACUAAAAAAAUAUAAAGUUAUUGAAAAAAAUUAUUAAAAUGAAAAUAAGUUAAAAAUAUAUAAAGAAAUCCCUAAAAAUACAAAUUAAAUAUUAUGACGCCAACAUUAUCAUAACGUAGUUUACGGACAAUAUAACAAAUGUUUUUAAGUACAUUAACAUUUUUUUACUUUUAAUAAAAUUUUAAUUUCCUUUUACAGAAUGAACCAAUAAAUUCAAUUGAAAAAGUAAGGUAGGUGAAUCACCCACAUUUUUCUAAUCAAUGCGAGUCGGAAAAGUAGGCGGCACCCCAAUUCCGAUAACCAUAUCCUUUAAAACAAAGGUAACUUGUUUUUUUAAAAUAAGUUUCUAUGAAAUUGAAAGUUUUUUUCAUCAAUGAAAAAAUAUUUAAGAAAUUUAGUUUAUUUUUGUACUAAAUUUAUUAAUAUUCCUAGCCUUUUUUUAAAAAAUCAACUUUAAUCUCUCUAUCAUUAUUAUAUUUAUUGUUUUUGUUUUUAUUGAUUGUACUUACCAAAAGAAGUGAAAUUCACCCAGCUGUUUUACUCAAAAUAAAAUUACACUCCUAAAUAGUUUAAUUAAUUAAUAAUUUUCAUUACUUAUUUACUAAAACUACAACACUGACUUGUAGUUAAACAUUUUAAAAAAAUAUUAAUAUAAAAUACCUUAGAUUAAUUAUUGUAACAGAAAACUAACAAUUAAAAGUAUGAGGAAGAAGUGUUUUUUUUCUUAUAGAGUGUUUAGUAAUUUUUUUUAUAAAAUAUAUUAAAAAGGAGAAGAAAAAGACCCACUUAAGUGACAAUAAUAUUUCAGGGAAAAUUAAAUUUGUGAUGGAUAAUUAAUUAAAAACAACACCAAACAUUUAUUUAUUUAUACUUUUUACUCUUACUCUUAUUAUCAUAAAAGUUUUGGUGCAGAUAUCAGGGUGUGAAUAUUAGUUGUUGUUGCAACUUCAUCCUUCUCAAAGUAAAUCUCAAUGCUUUGAAGUACACCCUUCUCUUUCACACUGUUUUCCUCAAUACUUUUUUCUUUGUUUUGCAGUCUUCAACGUUUCUGGUUGUUUUGGUUGCCUUCAUGGUGAUCAGGUAAGCAUUAAUGGCAACCUCAUAAAUUUUCUCUUCUAAAACAAAAAUAUCCAUGCAUGUUUAACUUUCUAUAGUCUGAAAAGAUAAUAUUGCUACUUAGAAUUAACUACAACGUUGUUUUUACUAGAAUCUGGGAACCAUAUUUUGAAUUCAUCAGGUUCUUUUUUGGUCCAUGGACGAUCUCAAAGAGAAUCCACUUUUCUAGUUGAAGAAAUUAUUGUUGACCAUUUCUUUUACCAUGAACUCAUCAUUUUACCUUCACUUUCCUUAACAGAAGAGAAGUGGCUACGAAAUUCACAACUUGAACUGUUACUUCUUGAGAGUGUUCAAUGGUUUCUACUUAACAAGGUAAACUCUCCUUUUUCUCUUCCUUGAAUUUCCCAUUGUCCUUUUUCAUGUUUGGGUUUUUUCAUUUCCAUUGUUUGAACAUAUGCAUAUGCUUGGAUAUGAUUUUUGCAGGUAUGUUAGAUAAUUGCUUUUAUUUAAAAAUCAGGAAGACAAACAAAGUUUUCUAUAUUUUCUCAUCUACAAAAUACUUAUAGAGAAAUUUCUUGUUUGUGGUUUUCUGACACUUGUGUGUUAAUGUUCUGUGAAAGUAUCUGAGGCUACUGAUAAGUUUAGAGUGGAUCUGGUUUCUUUGAUGGACCAAGUUUUGUCUUUUCCUUUAACAUCUCAUUCUUCUUUUCUUCCUAAACUCAAUUAGUAUAUUUGAUGAACAAAGGGUGUGAAGAGUGAUCAUACAAUUUGGAUUAUAUAUUUCCUAAAGAGUUAUCAUUCUAAAAAUAAUAAUGAAAAAGGAAAUGCUGAAAUUAUGCAAGUUAUUCUUAUAACUAGAAUAUCUGAGAAGGAAUUAAAAAAAAUUAUAUUUCUACAGAUGGGUGAUCUGGAAUUAUUUAUUUACUACUUUCGAUAUAUUCUAAAAGGUAAAGGACAAAAUUAAAAUUUUAAUAAGUGUUGAAGAAAAUUAUGUGGGUGAGGAAGAAAAAGUCCUAAUUUUAUGGGAUAUAUUUUCUGCAGAUUGUGAGUAUUGUAAAUGGAUCAGAUAAUAUUUUUUUAUAAGUUAUAAAAGGAAAAAUAAAUUAUAAAUAUGUAGUUUUAUAAUACAUUGUCAAAAUAUGAUGUGUUUCAAAGUAAUAUUUAUUAUAAAGUAGAAUUUUUUCCUACUUUAUAAAAUGACAAAAAACGAAAAAAAAAAGAAAAAUUGAACCUAAUUUUCUAUGUUUGUAUGUAUUAAAUAAACCAAAUAUAUGUUUGUAUCAAUCAUAAAUAUAAAGUUAAAAUAUAAUUUGAUCUCAAACUAUAUAUAAAUAAAGAUAGUUAUAAAUGCUAAAACAAAUUUAUUAUCUUUAAAUAAAGACUUGACAUUAAAUAAACGCAAACAACUUUGAUAAUAUAUAUAUAUAUAUAAAUAUAUAUAUAUAUAUAUUUAUAUAUAUAUAUUUAUAUAUAUAUUUAUAUAUAUAUAUAUAUAAAGAAAAGUUGUAAAAGUAUUUAUUUUCCGGUUAUAAAUUUUUAUAUAUAAAAAUAAAAUAAAAUUACUAUGUCUAUAGGAAAAUGUUAUUUUUUGCAUCACAUUAGUCCACGUACUAGUGUUUAUUAUGUGUUGGUGAAAAUUGAAUAUUUACAAGAAAAUUAUUAAACAAAAAUUAAUUUUAAAUUAAAUAAUUAAUUAAUAUAUUAAUUAAAUUAAAUAUUAUUUUAAAAAUUAAAAAAAUUAUUGUUCUCGCCGAUUGACCAGGGACGUCUUCGUGCGUGGCUUAUCCUCGCGAGCUAGGGCGUCUUCGUUUUGCACCGUCUGUGAUACCUGAAAAGGUGUGGACAAAGGGGCGUCAUCGCGGCCGUUUGCACUCCGACGAUCAAGUCAGUUAGCGAGAAACAUCAAAGGGAUACACCUCCAUAUCGGAGCACCGUGAACGAAUGCUCUGAAGGUGGUCGAAAAAUAUACUUACUGGCUAAAACUGUGUUGCCCUAAUUCUCUGUGCGUUCAGUGGGUGCGCAGCGAAAUAACUAGGGUUUACGUGUGUGUAGAACUGUGAGAAUUAGGUCAAAGCCCGAAUCCUUUUCAUACACCUCCUGCAUUUAAAGCGCGUUAAAGCGCAUUGAAAGCGUAUAAAAAUGUGCCUUGAAACAUUUGAUACGUAAACUAAAUUAACGCGUACCUUAGAAAACUUUCACUAAAAAAUUGAUGAGCACGUGCUUAUUGCCACGUGUUCUUCUGACUUGAUCGUUAUUCUACGCAGAGGGCCUCACAACGCUGUAACCCAACUUAGGGUUAUUCCAUUGUGUGAGUCAUCUUUCCUCGAAGUGCAUCUGGCGUGUGGGGUGACUUCCUAGGUGCCAACUCAUGCGCCCCAACCUCUAGUCACUCGCCCUGAGUGUAUCUACCUUCCUCUCGCACCAUGCACUUGGUUCACCCCCGGGCAUGACCCUCUCAUGGGUCGUAUCUAUCCCAGGGGUCUUCCUGAGGUGGCGUGGGUACUUCACGAGUCAGGUUACUCCCUACUGGUACUAGAACUAUGGCCUUGAAGCCACCUUUCUCUUCUCCUUGUUACUAUUCUGGGCUGUCAGACAUGAGACCUCCGAGCGGUGUCGCCCCCUCCAAGGUCUUUCCUACACAUGGGUAUCUGGGGGUAACACCGUUGACGUCUCACCUUGGCUAUGUCUUGUCUUGGCGACGCCUCCCCCUGGCGACGUCUUAUCUUGGCGACGCCUCAAGGAGUCAAUAUAUUGACUUUCUUCCUUGGGUCCCACCAUACGUUGACUUUGACUUUGACUUUGACUUUGGUCGACACCCGGGGACGGGACGGUACACAAGCCCCCCAGUCUUGAGCUGAUACUUGUUUUCAGUGAAAAGACUAAGGCAUCGCCCUAUCAUCCACGUGGCACCCCGAUGACGUGGCAUUUCCUAAGCGGCUGACGUGAUAUUCUCUUGAGCAGCUGACGUGACAUUCUCUGCGCCAGAGAUGUGACGCCUUAAGUUGCGCUUUACUCUUUCGACACGUGGCUUGAUCCUACGGCUGGGGAUGAGCGUCGUUAGCGCUUCUAAGUUAACGUUAUAACCUUUCGAAAUCGCACGCUCCAGGCACUGUUCCAUUCGCCUUCUUCGCAUUCCCUACUAUUCAUCUUCUCAAAGCUCCUUCUGCGCUCUCUGUUCUAACUUUGCAUUUUCGAUCUUCACCAACUCCGAACACUUAAAGGUAUGAACUUUCUCAUUCGAUGACCCUCUUUCUGCUUAUCGUGCCCGAUAUAACUGCCUGGGACUGUUUAUUUUUCUGCAUUUCUUGUGUUUUUCUCUUUUCCUCCUAGUUUCUUCGUUCUUCCCCCUUUCUGGACUUCUCGCAUGGGUAGGGGUUUCCUAGGGUUUCGUCCCAUUCGCUUCUUCUAAACUCCUUCACUAAGCCUUUGCUUUUUUCUUCCUUCUUCAACUUCUUUAUCAAUCUAUGGCACGUACAAAAACAACGCCCAAUCCUCCCCCAAAGGUCGACUAUAAGGCUCAGUACCCCUGGGCCUCAAAUGAGCUCUUGGUUGAGUGCACCAGCCUGACCACUGUAGAAGACGUGGUGAAUCACCAGGGUGACCCACAUCUAUACAACUUUUACGCCUUCUGCAGCACCCAUGACUCCCACGUGUCUGUUCUCCAUGGCACCCCUGGGGAGCCAGUCUGCGUGGACAACCAGUUUAAUGGCAAGAAACCCUUCUUCUUCAUGUACCAAACAGUUUUCAAACGCGUUGGUGUGCGCCUUCCCUUCACAUCCUUUGAAAGGGAGUUACUCACCGAGAUCAACACAGCCCCCGCCCAGCUACACCCCAAUAGCUGGGCCUUUGUCAGGGCUUUCCAAAUCCUAUGUGGGUACCUGGGUGUCCCACCCUCGGUAGACGUUUUUCUUCAUUUCUUUGAAGUGAAAAAGAAAGGGAAAACCCUCUGGGUAAGCUUUUUCGGGGUUGCUGGCAGAAUCCUCCUCACCCUCUUCCAGAACUCUUACAAGGGGUGGAAAGGCCUCUUCUUCAGGGUGUGCGCCAACAAACACAACCCCUCUGUCCUAGACGGGUUUCCCCUGUAUUGGGCGGAAAAGCCCAAUCUGACCAAGCCGAAAUCCUUGGACGAGCUGUCUUCCGCCGAUAAAGGGGUGUGUGAGGCCUUGGCUGGCCUGAAGAUCGUCUUCAACACGUUGAAGCUCAUAGCUUGUGAGUUCAACGCGCGCACCCUCUCUUCAUACUUCGGUAGGAAAACUUGCCCCUUGCUUGCCUCCUCUAUGCUUAUUUCGUAAUCGUGCUUUCCCUUAUUCAUGCAUGCGAUACUUGUCUGCUUUAAUUUCUAUAUUUGCUGUUGAUCUGCAAAAUUACCUCAGUAGUAGGGUUAAUAUCCUGUACUUAGUCCCAAGUUCAAGCCUUAACUCCAAAUUUCUGCGUAUCACCAUAUGUAUUUGAUACUUCAUUCUUUAUUGAUAUCGGCCUUAACCUUUGUUGCUUGGUUUGUUUGGUGCAACAUCAGUGAUGGACCCCGCAACGCGAGUUGAGCUGGCCAGGUCCUUGAAGGUGCGUUCUAACGCGACGUCCAUAAAGACCGGCGCCUCCAGUACUCCCCCCACCGAGUCCAAUCCAACGCCACCAUCACCACUACCCCACACUGCCGAAACACUCCGCUCCCCUCAUUCCCCCUCCAAACACCAAACUCCAAACUCCCCCCUUACGUUCCAAGCACCUUCCAUAGCCCAAACAUCCGACUCUCCCCCAACACUCCAAACACCUAACUCACCCCUUACACCCCAAACACCUAACUCACCCCGUCCCAUUGCUGCAGUCCCACUAACUGUAGCUAGCAUUCCUUCCACAACCCCCCCCCUGACAAAGGCAAGAGGGUGCUUACCAUUUCCUCCGAGGAUGAUGACUCGGACGUGGGGCUUGCCUAUAAGAGAAGGAGGACCAACCGAAUCGUCUACUCACACUCCCCUUCACCUCCAUAUGGGGGGUCUUUGAUGGACAACCCCCCAGCGCCACAUCUCCCCCACAACAAGCAGCCCAAGAGGCGGGGGUGGUGGAGUCUGCGCCCCUACCAACACCAACACUAGCCCCUGCACCUACCGCCCCUACGCCUACCCAAGAACUCUUGGAGAUUCCCCCGCCAAUUAGGCAGCUGAUGCGGGGUUUUGCUGAUAGGUCAACGCCCGAAAGCUCCUCCGUGGAGAAUAGGAGAGAAGGCAUGCUCUAUUACUUGGGGGCCUUCUUGGCCAUCGCUCUUGAAUGGCGCGCCCAGGCCAAGUCCAAAGUUGAAGAGGUACGCGCCCUCCAAGCCCUUCAACAGGAAGUGGCUACCCUGAAAGAGGAGAAGGAGGGCUUGUCCUGCGACUUGGCGUGCCAAGAGGAGGUCUACAAGGCCUCUUUGAGGAGGACCCGAGAGGUCAAUGCGGAAGCCUGCAAACGACUACACGAUGCAGGGCAAGCUGGCACUGAGCUCCUCACUCGGGUGGCGUCUCUCCAAUCCAAAAUCGCUGAUCUCGAAACGACGAUGAAAGCUUCUGAGGCACAACAGAAACAACUUGCAGACCAGUGCGCUGACCGGGAGCAAUUUUUGGGAAAGGCUGAGGGGGAGCUAGCUGAAAAGAUGGAAAAGCUUAACCUUCUCCAAACUGAGCAUGGCCAGUUCCAGGCUGAACUGAAUAGGCUUUAGGUGGAGAAGGAAGUUCUCGAGAAGCAGCUAGCCUCCGGGGACUCCGCGAUCGAGGAGCUGGAGAGGGCCAAGAAAGAGCUCAUUGUGGAGAGGGAAAUCCAGGACUCCACAAUUAAAAGACUGGAGCAGGCCAAAGGGAAGCUUAUCGACGACAUGGCCGACACCUUUGCAGUGGGAUUCAAGGAGGCUCUAGCUCAAGCUGCCUGUGAAAACCCGGGGAUUGACACCUCCAACUGCAGCCAUUUCAACCAUAUUGUUGAUGGGAAGGUCGUGCCCCUCAACCUCGGGAAAUGAGCUGCCCUUAAUAAACUUCUAUCUUGCUUGUGAAUUUGUAUUUACAAUAUUUUAAACUUUACUUGUAAUCCUGACACUUAACUUCAUUUGCUUGAAUGUCAUUCGAACGUCGCCUUUAAAUUCUCGUACGAUCUCAAUCUUCAUUGCACCUUUAUUUGCUUCUGUCUUCUUUACUAUAUCGAACGUGUUUUCCUCAAUACAUCUCUUCAUCGCUUCACCUUUAACUCUCUAGAUAGCACGUGACUUCUUCUCUUGUUCUUUCUUUCUAAGUCGUAUCGCCUAUCCUUCUCUUGGCCUUUUCACUCAGAAACUUGCUUAACCUUCGUGUCUGUGAGAAAUCUCCCUCACGAAGGCGUCGCCACCUUGUCAUUGUCCAUAGGCAAAGGAGGAUUUAACUUCAUGUGUUUUUCUCAUCUUUGGCAGCUCGUGCCUUCAUGCUUCAUCUCCUCCUUGCUUUUCGCUUACUUGUCUUGAGUCCCGAGGUGCUUAUUACCGAAGACAUUGCUGGCCUUAUCACCGCUUAGGAUGAGAAGGGUCUCAUCUUCUCUUUCUGGCCUGGACAUCGCUCAAGGGCGAGGAGGACUUAUCUUACCUGUACUGGGUGCCCAUGCUCGAGGAGGGACCUGCUCUGGGUGUCUUCAGCGUAUCUAGACACUUGGAACAAAAGUCGCGCUCUGGUGCCCACGCCUAUGGAGAGGCCCAUAAACCAAACUGAACAACGUCUCCAUGGUGGAAGAUUGAGGCGUGGUGUGGUAAACCCACACGAUCCUUGGCACUUCUUCAGCCCACACCCCCUUAGCUUUCUCUAACCUUCUUUUCAGCCCUCUCAGCAAAACCCUAUUUGCUGAUUCUACCUGCCCAUUCGUCUGGGGGUGUUCGACUGAUGCGAACACUUGCUUGAUCCCUACUUCUGCACAUAACUUUCCCAACUGUUGGCUUGCGAACUGGGUGCCAUUAUCAGAAAUGAGACGCCUCGGCACCCCCAAAACGACACACAAUGUUCUUCCAAACAAAGUGUUGUACCUUGUGCGCAGUGAUCUGUGCCACUGGUUCUACCUCUAUCCACUUGGUGAAGUACUUGAUGACGAUGAUCAGGUACUUCAUCUGCCUUAUCGCCAGUGGAAACAGACCUAGGAUAUCAAUCUCCCAAGUAUGGAAAGGCCAUGGGUUAUAUAUGGAUCUCAGUUCUUCUGGCGGCGCUUUGUGCCAAUCAGCGUGCAUCUGACACUGCUUGCAACACUGGGCGUAACGAACGCAGUCUUCUCUUACCGUCGGCCAGUAAAAACCUGCACGUACUACCUUGGAUGCCAAGGAUCUUCCUCCCACGUGGCUCCCACAAAUACCUUCAUGGAGUUCAGCCAUUAUCCUGGUGCACUCGUUGCCACUUACACACGUCAAGAUAGGGUGCGUAAACCCAUGUCUGAAUAAUAUCCCAUCCACUAAAGUUUACCUUGCGGCGUUCCUCUUGACCUUCUUGCCUUCUUCUGGUUCCGCUGGGAGGAUCCCAUCCGUGAGGUAUCGCCUGUAAGGGGUCAUCCAGGUGUCGCCUUCCUCCAAGGCGCAUACAUGUACGCCCAUCUCUUCUUCCAACGAGGUCGCGUAGGUACUGAUGCAGGGUGUCCUCGCCGUAGCUUGACUCAAAGAGCGAUGGCUCCUUGACUUUCCUCUUGUUGUACUAAUGUGAAAGACAUCCACUCUGUUGUCUGCCACAAACUUUCGCGGUGUUUUGGACGUCUCUUGGAUGACAGUCCUCUGCCUUCCCCCCUCUCCUGAGCUAGCAAACUUGGCAAGUAGGUCAGCACUGGCAUUUUGUUCCAUAGGGACAUGCACCAACUCAAACACGGCGAAGGCUCCCUUCAACACCUCGACGUACCUCAAGUACGUAGCCAUCUGUGGAUCCUUUGCCUGAUACUCCCCUGUUACUUGUCCUGUGACCAAUUGUGAGUCACUCUUUGCCAAAAGGCUUUGAGCGCCCAUUUCUUUAGCCAAAAGCAUCCCAGCAAUCAGCGCCUCAUACUCCGAUUAAUUAUUGCUUGCCUUGAAUGCGAAUCGUAAGGCUUGCUCGAUCAACACUCUGUUAGGCCCUUCCAAGAUUAUUCCAGCGCCACUUCCCUACUGGUUAGAGGACCCAUCCACUGAGAGCAUCCACUGUGAUCCCAAGUCUACCUCUUGAGGGUCUCCUCCUGGUGACAGCUUUGCCACGAAAUCUGCAUAGACUUGCUCUUUGAUGGAUCCCCUGGGUUCAUACUGGAUAUCAAACUCCAACAGCUCCACCGCCCAGCGAACCAUCCUCCAUGCUACAUCUGGCUUCUAAAUUAUCUUCUGGAGGGGGAAGUUCGUCAUCACCACCACUGUGAAACUGUGGAAAUAGUGGCGGAACCUUCUGGCUGAGAACACCACUGCUAGUGUUGCCUUCUCCAGUGAUUGAUACCUCAGUUCUGGGCCUUGCAAGGCCUUGCUUACAAAGUAGAUGGGCUUCUGCACUUGGUCUUGCUCCUGGACCAGCACAGAGCUAAUGGCCCACUCUGUCACCGCAAAGUAUAAUCGGAGGGGGACGCCUGCCCGUGGCUUGCAAAGAACAGGUGGCGUCGCCAAGUACUCCUUCAAUUUGAGUAACGCUGCUUCACACUCAUCUGUCCAUGCAAAACGGCUAUUCCUCUUGAGGCAUUGAAAAUAGGGGUGGCCUUUCUCACCUCUAGCAGAUACGAAUCUUGAUAACGCUGUCAUUCGCUCCGUCAGUUGUUGAACUUCUUUCAUUGAGGUUGGGCUCCUCAUGGCGAUGAUGGUUGCGCACUUAUCGGAGUUUGCCUCUAUCCCCUUCUCCGUGAGCAUGAAGCCUAAGAACUUCCCCACCUCCAUGCCAAAAACGCAUUUCUCCGGGUUUAACUUGAAGCAGUAUCUGGCUAUUGUGGCGAACAGCUCUUCCAGAUCCACUGCGUGCUGGCCUUUGUCACGCGAAGUCACUAUCAUGUCAUCCACGUAGGCUUGCACGUUCCUUCCUAGCAUGGGUGCUAGGACCUUGUCCAUCAGCCUCUGGUAAGUGGCACCUGCAUUUUUUAGCCCAAACGACAUCACCUUGUAACAGUAGUUGCAUGUCUCUGUCAUGAACGUUGUUUUACACUCAUCUCUUGGGUGCAUCUUGAUCUGGUUGUAACCCGAGAAUGCGUCCAAGAAGCUCAACAUCUUGCUUCCCGAUGCACUGUCCACCAAUGCGUCGAUGUUGGGCAACGGGUACGAAUCUUUAGGGCACGCUUUGUUCAAAUUCGUGAAGUCGACGCACAUCCUCCACUUCCCAUUCACUUUCUUCACUAGAACCACGUUGGCAUGCCACUCAGGGUAUUGUAUCUCUCUGAUGUACCCGGUGCUUAGCAACUUUUGCGUCUCUUCCUUCAUGACGAGGCAUCGUUCUUCAUUGAACUUCCUCCUUCUCUAUCGUACAGGGCGAACGUUGGCAUCUAUAGUAUGAUGGUGGCACAAAAAAUAUGGGUCUAUGCCCGACAUGUCCGCCACAGUCCACGCGAAUGCGUCUAGGUGGCGGGAGAUGACUGCUGCCACUUCAUCUUGUUCUUCCCGACUCAACAAACGUCCCAAUUUGAACACCUUACCCCCUAUCUGCAUUUCCACCACAUUGUCUAAUGGUUGGGGUCACCUAUCCCGCACACUCUCUGCACGAGUCUUAUUCCUGUGAUCCUCUUCUACUGGCGUCGCCCUGUCGGGUGCGUCGGGCGUCGCCUCCUCCGACGCUUCUUCUAUGGGCAAGGCCUCUAUGUGGCUUCCUUCUGCGCACACAUCUUCUACAGGCAUUGCCUCUUCCACUGGGUCUAACUCCAUUCGCGAAUCUGAAUUGGGUGGUCAUUCAAUCACCAUGACCACGCCUCUCUUCAUAGCAUCUCCGGGCCUCUUCCUGGUAUGACUUGAUAACUAUCACCUUGCCACUAAGAUCCGGUAGCUUCAUCUUCAUGUGGUGUAUGGAGGCCGCUGCUCUCAAUCUGUUUAGGGCGGGUCUGCCCAACAAAAUGUUAUAGGCUGAAUUGGCGUUAACCACCAAGUACCGGAUGCUCUCGGUACGCGACGCCACUCCAUCAGUGAAUGUCGUUCUCAGCUCCAAGUAGCUACGUACCUCCACUGGAUUGUCUGCGAAUCCAUAUAAGUAUCCAGUAUAGGGUCUCAAAAGGUCAGGGGAUAAUUGUAGCUUGUUGAAGGUCGACCAAAACAUGACAUCUGCAGAACUGCCUUGGUCGACAAGGACCCUGUGUACCUUUCUCCCCGCUGUGACUACUGAGAUGACCACGAGGUCAUUGUCAUGCGGGAGAACAUCCCGUAGGUCAGCCCUGGUGAAAACAAGGUUUGACUCUCAUGGGUCAUCCGAAAACUCCCAGCAACUGCACUCAGUGAUCUCACAUAUUUCUUACGUUGAGAGGCAGUAGGUCCUUCCCCGGAAAAGCCACCAGAAAUGGUGUGAACUUCCCCAUGGACUGGCAUCUCAUGUGCCUGACCCUCCUCUGGUACCGUCGGGACUGUGGUCACAGCAGACCCAGCGAGAUAAUCCUUUAGGAAACCAUUCUUCACGAGCUCAUCCAACUGAUAGCCCAGCGCUAAGCAGUUGUUGAUAUGGUGCCCGAACGCCUCAUGGAACUCGCACCACGAAUCUUUGUGAGGUCCUAGUACCUUAUCAGACUUUACUGGUGGCCUCAACCUGUCAACUAUGUUGGGCACGACGAUGAGGUCUUUAAGCUCUACCACAAAGUUGUGCCUCAAUGGUUUACACCCUUCUCUCUUUCUCUCUGUUUGACCCCUGGGCUGGGUACUUCUUGCCUCGUAGGGGCGCUUCCUGUCUUGGUUCUCCCUCCCUGUCGUGGCCUUGUGGAUCCUAGCGGGUUGCGCGCGUAUAUGCGCUCUCGGGUGCAUGGCCGCAACAGUUGAGCGUUUCUCGUACACCUCGCCCUCAGAGGCAAUGUGUUCUACCUCACAACGCCUUAUUUCAGCAAAAGUCUUGGGGCAGUCACGAAAGAGCGACUUGCUGAAAGGCUCAGGACACACCCCUUUCCUGAAUGCAUACACGAUCAUGGGCUCGUCUGUGGUACCCACCUUCACCACCUGCACCCCGAAACGGCUUAUGUAUUCUUUCAGGGUCUCAUCCUGAUACUGUUUUACGUCAAAUAGGUCAUAUGAAACUGGGGGAGGGGCCCUGUUGGCUAGAUACUGCUCUCGGAAUAGCCGCGAAAGCUGUGCGAAAGACGUGAUAUGACCCUCUGGGAGGUUGAUGAACCAGUCCAUGGCCAUCCCAGUCAAGGUGCUCAUGAAGAGCUUGCACCUUACCGCAUCAGAGCCGCCUACCAGCAUCAUCUGCGUGUGGAACGCAGUGAGGUGCGCCUCAGGGUCUUCUAUUCCUGUGAAGGUUGCUUUGGGCCCUGUGAACGUGUUGGGAAUCACUGUCUCUAGGAUCGCUUGUGAGAACGGUGUUGAGAAUUCUUUUGGUGGGGUGACAGCCUCGACUUCGUCUGUGUCGCGCCGCCCGCGGCGCAGCUCCUCGUUUGUACGGUGGAGCUCUUCGUUUAUCUCUUGAGAUGUAGCAAGAUCCGCUUGCAUGCGUUCUUACUCCACUUUCGACGCUGCCAUUGCUUCUUGUAAUCCCUGCAUCAUACCCAUGAGUUACUGCAUGGUCAUCUCUUCACUUUCAGCGCGCGUCGCGCUUUGUCUCGUGGAUCUCAUCAUCUGGAACCGCUCUUAGCUGUCGUGCAACUCCAAGGGGUAAAGACUUGAAUUCGAACGAACGUGAGCGUACAACGACUCAACCAAAGCAACCGGUGAAAACUGCACCAAUUCUUCUUUGGUAAAAUGGCGAGGGAAUUGGGUUAGAAACUGCAACUGCAACUGGAAAACUGGGUGAUGGGACUGAUGUUUUAUAUCGGCCCCACGGUGGGCACCAAAUGUUCCCGCCGGUUGACCAGGACAUCUUCGUGCGUGGCUUGUCCUCGCGAGUUAGGGCGUCUUCAUUCUGCACCGUCUGUGAUACCUGAAAAGAAGUGGACAAAGGGGCGCCCUAGCGGCCGUUUGCGCUCCGACGAUCAAGUCAACUAGCGAGAAACAUCAAGGGGACACACCUCCAUAUCGGAGCACCGUGAACGAAUGCUCUGAAGGUGGUCGAAAAAUAUACUGAGUGGCUAAAACUGUGUUGCCCUAAUUCUCUGUGUGUCCAGUGGGUGCACAACGAAAUAACUAGGGUUUACGUAUGUGUAGAACUGUGAGAAUUAGGUCAAAGCCCGGAUCCUUUUCAAAUGUCCCCAGGCCCCUUUUCAUACACCUCCUGCAUUUAAAGCGCGUUAAAGCGCAUUGAAAGCAUAUAAAAAUGUGUCUUGAAACAUUUGAUACGUAAACUAAAUUAACGCGUACCUUAGUAAACUUUCACUAUAACAUUGAUGAGCACGUGCUUAUUGUCAUGUGUUCUUCUGACUUGAUCGUUAUUCUACGUAAAGGGCCUCACAGCGCUGUAACCCAACUUAGGGUUAUUCCAUUGUGUGAGUCCUCUUUCCUCGAAGUGCAUCUGGCGUGUGUGGUGACUUCCUGGGUGCCAACUCAUGCGCCCCAACCUCUAGUCACUCGCCUAGAGAGUGUAUCUACCUUCCUCUCACACCAUGCACAUGGUUCACCCCCGGGCAUGACCCUCUCAUGGGUCGUAUCUAUCCCGGGGGUCUCCCUAAGGUGGCGUGGGUACUUCACGAGUCAGGUUACUCCCUACUGGUACUAGAACUAUGUUGUUGAAGCCACCUUUCUCUUCUCCUUGUUACUGUUAUGGGCUGUCGGACCUGAGACCUCCGAGCGGUGUCGCCCCCUCCAAGGUCUUUCCUACCCAUAGGUAUCUGGGGGUAACACUGUCGACGUCUCACCUUGGCUAUGUCUUGUCUUGGCGACGCCUUUGCCUGACGACGCCUUCUCUUGGCGAUGCCUUAAUGAUGCGACACCUCCCCCUGACGACGUCUUAUCUUGGCGACGCCUUAACCUGGCGACGCCUCAACCUGGCGACGCCUCAACCUGGCGACGCCUCAACCUGGCGACGCCUGAAGGAGUCAACCUGUUGACUUUCUUCCUUGACUCCCCUUGAGGGGUCCCACCAUAUGUUGACUUUGACUUUGACUUUGGUCGACACCCGGGAACGGGACGGUACAAUUAUUGAUAUUUUAAAAUUAAUAUAUAAUUAAAAUAAUAUUAAAUUUAAUUAAUAUAAUAACUAAUUAUUUUUAAUAUUUAAAAUUAAUUUUUAUUUAAUAAUGCUGCAGUGACAUAUACUCAUUUGAGUCCCUUCCUUCCCUCUCUUUCCUCGUACAACCAAAAGUGUCCCUCCAUUUGGGUGAAACCUUCUCCACUCCUCGAGAUCCUAUCUCCACUCGAGCCACCAUUGCACGCACCAUUGCCAUGAAGGGCAAGCUCCUCCACCGGAAACUGCACAGAUUUUUCUUCACCCACCCUCACACCAUCUUCUCUUUCUUCGCCAUAGUUAGAGCAUUCUGACUCGUAAAACUGCUCUCCAGUCUUCUCCUCUGAGCCGACAUCCGAGUCCGCCUCUUGUGUCUCCCCCCACAUGGGAUGAAAGCAUAUGGAGAUGUUGGCCGAGAGAGACGACUCCUCCUCUACUACAUUGAAGCACCUCUUUUCCAAACGUUGCUUCAUUAACUUCUAUUAGUGUCCCAACUUGAGCAGUUAUUUCUUCAAAGCACUGUCUGUUCCAGUAAGCUAGGGAAUUCCUCUACAUCUUACCCAUACAUACUUAUCCGUUACAGCAAAGCUAUUAACCCAUGGAACAACUUAUUCAAAAAUUCUUCUAGCCAUGCCUUUUUCUCUUUGAUAGUCUUCUCUACCACCCCUUCCGCUUCCCCAGACAUCAACACAAAACUAUCUCCUAGAUAUCUCACUCUAAUGAAGUUGAAACCUUUCAUGAUGAUCUCUCCUUUAUGGCCUCCACCUUCCCCGCCUCUAACAUUCUACCUACAAAGCAUUUUUGUAGCCAUUUUGUACUAUCCUCCUUAACCCUGAUAAGAACCAUACACUCUUCUUGAUAGCAUUGUCUUCAUUUCUUUUGAAUUUUUGUGGUGGAGCAAAAGCUUGAUGUAGGAAGCGGACAAGGAUGAUUCUAAUAAAGUUAUGGUUUCUUUGAAGGUGCAUGAUUGGUUGGGCCAUAUCACUUGGAGAAGGUGAAGAAGAAGAUUAAGGUCUCAAUCCUAGAGAGACAAGACAAGAGAGUGAGAAAGCAUGCAAUCUUGGCAAUAAUUUAGUCAUUCAUUAAUCUUGGAAAUUCAUGAGCCAAGCACCCUUUUAAAUAGGAAUGAGGUACAACCAUUGUACAAGGAAAUUAGUGGGAAAUUCAAAUGCAAUGGGUUUGUAUAUUAGCCCCUAAAAUGAGCUCACAAGUCAAGCACGACAAGGUGUGUUUCAUGUGAUUCAUUUAGACCUAAAUGACUGGCCUAGGUUAACUAGGGGUUUUUUUAUAAACCCUAAUUUAAACUAGGUUGAUUUUUAGAUGCUUAAAUUCAACCCUAAUUACAAUUAAGAAAAGUUAUAAGUAAAUUUUUUAUUCUACUUUUGACAAGAAAAUAAAUUCUACUUUAAAUAUUUUACACUAGGUUUAUGACAUUCUUGAACAUGUAUAUGAGGGUUUCUCUACUAUCAGUAGCAUAGUCUCAGUCUUCUUGGAUCUUUCUUGCCAUGGACCUAGUAUUUCCCUUCUUUCAUUCCCUUCACCACUUGUGCAAACGUCUGGCAUCUGACGAUGAUCUUGUUUCCUCCAUUCCUUCCUGUGUUGCAUUGAUCUUUGGCUUCAAUUCCACUCAUUCUUUGAUUCCUCAAACCUCCUAUAUUUUGAUCUAUGUACUCGCAACUUCCACGUCGCAGCAUCAACAACCUCUUGAAAUCUCACAAAACCAAACCUUUAUUUUCUAACAUUAAAUCUUCUUUUUUUUUUUUUUUUUUAGAGCAAUGAAUGAAUUAAAUUAAGAGGGAUACUUUAGGGGUAUCCCAACCCGUUUACAAACCACACACUGAUUAUACUGCUGAGCAGCCAUAGAGAGGCUAUGCCUGCAGCGAUAGAUACAAGAAAACCCUGCAAAAAAGAAUCAUAGCAGCAGAAUUGAGCUUACACACCCACUAAACCCAUCCUCCAAACAAACAUGAGAAGGGUGCUCUUAGCUUAUGAUCUAACCUUUAAAAAGGUCCUAGGAUACCUCAUUAGCAGUAAAAAAAACAGCAAGUACCCCGACAUUUUAAAUUCUCAACUACAGCAGAAACAGCCAACACCAAAGUGUUUAUAUAGAUUCACCACUGCAGCAGGCUCCAACAACUGAUGAUUUCUUUUGCACUCCAACCCACCUCACCCAUAUCUACUCCUGCAUGUUCUUCCAAGGCCACCCCUUCCAUCUAUAAUAAUGCAAAGCCAUCGUCCAACACCACCACCUAUAUACACCUACUGUUGUCCUUCCAUGCUCCACCCUUCCAUAUCUUCCUCUGUUAUAGCCUUUUCCAACUUACCCAUGCCAAGUAAAACCAACAGACCGUGUCUGUAUGAACACGCUGUGCAUCCUCCAAGCUCCAGCAAGCCUGUCCUGCACCACUAAGCCAGUUCCAGUAUUCUCACACCUAUACCAGUAAUGUUUACGCCAGCUCACAUGUGAGUGAGAAAAGAUAGAGUGAGGGUAGUGCACUUCUCAAAGCAGUGCAUACUCUCAAAGCCUAUUACAGCACCGGAACUAACUCGACUUCUCCCAAGAUCCCUAUUUCCAGUCAAAACCUUCUUCUCCAGCAAUCAAAAACGGCCCAUCUAUUCCCCUGUAUCUGCAUCAAAGACUUGCCUGGAAAAAUUACUUAAAGCUCGUAAUGCAUAUAAGUGGAUUAAGAACCCAAUCAACGAACGAAUAGUUAAAGGAAGGCGUUUUAUGCUUCAGCCAUAGCCAAGACUUGAGUUGAGCCUUUUGGAAGACUUCCUCCACGUCUACUACCCCAUGCUGGAAAACAACCAUAUUUCUUUGAUCCCAUAUGCUCCUAACAACAUUUACCCAAACACCUUUCCAUAGCAGAUUUUGUUUGCUACUAACUUGGGAUAAGAAAAAGCUUUGAAAAUGCACCUUUAAAUCAUUAUGCUGGACAGAUAAAAUACCUAUCCAAUUAAAGCAUAAAGACCAUACCCGUUGAGCGUGUUUGCAUUCCAAGAAGAUGUGUUGACAUGACUCCUCCUCCAACUGGCAUAAAGGACACGACGUAGAGGUCAUCAACACCCCUUUCCUGCUCAAGCCCACUCUUGUAGGUAUUCUUCCCACAAGUACCCUCCAAGCUGUCGUGACUACGCUUGGAAAUGCCUUUACCUUCCACAAGAGUUUAAACACUUCGGAUUGAGGGUCUCUAAUUUGCUUAGUUAGGCAUUCGUAUGCAGAUUUCACAGAGAAUAACCGUGAUUUCUCCUUCCCCCACGUGUGAUUGUCCUUGAUGUUCUUCUUCAAAAUGACCCUGGAUAAGAUCAUGCUAAGAUCUGCUUCCAUUGGCUUCUCCCACUCAAAUCGAGCACGCCUCCACUUCAAACUCCACCGCCACUCCGAGUUUAUCCAUUCACCAACCUCACCCACUACUUGACCCUGAUUUAGGGACAAGGAAAAAAGUCGUGGGAACAUGGAUUUCAAAUCGGCACUUCCAACCCAUACCUCCUCCCAGAAUUUAAUUUUAUUACCACAUCCUAUUUCCCAUCCUAGCUCUUCUUGAAACCAGCCUUUACCUCCUCCCUCCUUGCAUAUCUUUAACAGGUCUCUCCACCACCAAGACUGAACUUUGGUAGGUGUUUGGUUAUCUUCUAACUCCAAGUUGUACUUUGAAUCUAGCAGCUCCUUCCACCUUCCAUUCACAUCAGACAGACUGCGCCAUCUCCAUUUGGCUAAAAGAGCAUAAUUGAGCAUACGUAUAUCCCGACAACCCAAACCUCCCUCCGCUUUAGAUUUGCAUACGUCUUUCCAGCUAACCCAGAAGAUUGGCUUAUUGGCUUUCCCCCAUCCCCACAGAAAUCUCCUUUGUAUGCUCAUAAUCCUCUUACAAACCGCCAGCGGUGCUUUGAAAAGGGAUAAGUAAUACAAAGGUACACCUGUUAAAACAGAUUUAAUAAGACAAAUUCUUCCUGCCAUUGAAAGGAAUCUUCCUUUCCAUACACUAAGUCUUCCUUUUAACUUAUUAAUGACCGGUUCCCAGAACUGCUUCGUCCUUGGGUUUCCUCCCACUUCCAGGCCAAGAUAUUUGAAGGGAAUCCCCAUCUGCGAGCAAUUAAGAGUCUUAGUGUAGCAUGAUACUGCACUACUUUGCACGUUUAUACCUGCUAGCCUGGACUUAUGGAAGUUAAUCUUUAAGCCUGAGGCUAGCUCAAAACCCCUCAAAAUGGCUUUCAAAGUUAACACGUUGCUGUAGGAGUCUUCACACAGAAAUAAGGUGUCAUCCGCAAAUUGGAGAAUGCAUAUCUCUAACUCCUUGCUUCCAAUCUUGAGACCCGAUAGCAUAUUGACCUUCAAAGCCUGUCUGACAAUUCCAGCAAGACCUUCUGCUGCCACCAAGAACAGGAAGGGGGCUAAAGGAUCACCCUGUCUCAACCCUCUUGAUGGCUUGAACUCCUUCGUAGGGCUCCCAUUGACCAGCACAGAAAUUGAAGCGGACUCCAUACAACCUCGAAUCCAAGUGAUCCAUAAGUUAUGAAACCCCAUCCUGUGCAGCAUAUCAUAUAGGAAUUCCCAUCUAACCGAGUCAUAUGCCUUCUCGAAGUCCACCUUUAAGCAGAGCCCACUUCUCCCCUUUUUUCUAAGAUCCUCCACCACUUCAUUAGCCAUAAGCACGCUGUCUAGAAUCCCUCUAUUCUUUAGGAAGGCUGAUUGGCUUUCAUCUACGAUUGCAGGCAGCACCUUCUUCAACCUGCUAGCCAAGACCUUAGAUAUGAUUUUGUAUAGGGCUCCUACUAGUGAGAUGGGUCUAUACUGUUCAAGCUUAGAUGGGUCCCUGACCUUGGGGAUUAGACAUAUGAACGAAGCGUUACAACCCUUCGGAAUGGUUCCAGUCCUGUGAAACAAAGCCAUUGCUGCAAAAAUGUCAUGUUUUAUAAGAUCCCAGCUUUUCCUGAUAAAACUGAAGUUAAAGCCAUCUGGACCGGGACUCUUCGAACCUUCACACUGCCACACUGCGUCCCUUAUCUCUUCCUCCGUGAACGCUGCUACAAGUCUCUCGUUAUCCAUUGGGUUAAGAGAUUUAAACUCGACUUCAUCCAACCUUACACCAAGAUCUUUCGUGGCACUAAAUCUAGCUUCAAACAACUUUUUUGCCUCCAUGCGAACGGUACUAGGUUCCUCACACCAUUGGUCCCCAACCUGAACGCCCUUCACUUCAUUCCUGAGCCUUCUCCACCUCAAAGAUGAGUGAAAAAACCUAGUACAGGAGUCCCCAUUUUUAAACCAGCUUGCUCUAGCCUUUUGACAAAAAAGGCUUUCAAUUUUCUUUUCAGUCUCAACCAGACGGCUUGUCAAUUCCAUUUUUUCCAGCCUCUCACCUUCCCCUAAGCCCCCACUGCAGUCUUGGCAAUCUAAAGCCUCCAGAUCCUGAAGGAUCCUCCUCUUAGUAGUAUCAAGGUUACCAAACACAUCUCUGUUCCAUACUUUCAGAUCUGUUUUGAGCAUUUUCAGUUUUUCUUUAAAAACCGUUAUACCAUUCCCCUGUAGCAAGUAUGAUUGCCAUUUAUCCUUCACCAUCCUGUUAAAGCCCCUUUCCAAUAGCCAAGCGUCAAUGAAUUUGAAGGGCUUAGGUCCCCAGUCCUUCUCUACCGACUUAACCACCAGUGCACAAUGGUCGGAUACCUCCCUCCGUAAAACAUACUGUUUACUCGUGGGCCAUAGUUUAAGCCACUCUUCAGAAACCAGCACUCUAUCGAUUCUGCUCUUAGCCGUUCCAUCCGGUUUGAACCACGUAAAACUCUUGCCUACCCGAGGUAAGUCUAGCAGAAAAUUGGCAUCAAUGAAACUAUUAAAGCCCAUUAUCUCACUUGACUGUGUACCCCAUCCUCUAAUGCCUGACCUUUCGUUUCUACUUCUCACAGCAUUGAAGUCUCCACACAAGCACCAUGCUAGAACUUGAGAGGCCAGCUUAGCAGAAGAAAGGUCCUCCCAUAAUUUCUUCUUACCACUUAAUGCACAAGGAGAGUACACAUUAACCACCACACACCUAGAAGAGGAUUUAAUAUGUUGACCGCACACUAUAAUAAAACCUUUGCCUACCAGAUGAUAUUCACAGCUAAAGGCUUCUUUAUGCCAUAGCGACAGUAAACUUCCAUUCCCAUCAUCUCCUUUAUUAUGUAUCCAUCCAACAUUGUUAUCUCCCCAAAGAGAGAAGCAUCUACCGUCCGAAAUCUCCUUAGUUUUUGUUUCCUGCACACACACAAAUUCUGCUCCCUCGCUUCCAAUGAUAUGCCUCAAAUACCUGGCUUUGGUACCUCCCCCCAGACCUCUUAUAUUUAAAUUGACAAUUAUCAUUUAAACACAUCCUUCUUACCCUCCGCUAGACUCUCCAUGAACUGCAGAUCUCUUGCUUCCAAAGAAGAGUAUUCAUUGAGAACCUGUUGUUCGUCCCCUUGGCAUGUGAUCCCCACUCUUCUACUUAUCUCCCACAGUUUGGCCGAGGCCACAGGCGAAACAGAAUCACCCAAACGAGUGUUGCAAUUAUCAAUAUCACCGUCAGAAAGAGAGACUGAGGUCAAACCGUGUCGGGAAAGAGAAGAAGAAAGGUCAAACCCUAAACAUUAAAUCUUCUUGAAAUGAAAACAUAUUUGAUUCUUCUCCCUCUCAGAAAAAUCUUCCACAUAUCUCUUUCAUUAUGGUCGCUUGGAAAAUUGGAGAAAAAAAGCAGAACUCCAUUACAAAACUUUUUUGUUUCAUUUAUGUUAAUGUUGCUUUUCAAGUUUGAUUGUUUAAUUCUUUAACUGAAAGUUCGUUCCCCAUUUUAAUUCAAAUAAACAAUUUGGAUUUUUUUAUAUUCGGUCCAUUUGCAGAGGUAAAAUUUAUGCACCUCAAUUACACAGAUGGUUAAACUUAUAUUGUAACAUAAACAUAUACAAAAGAAUUGCAGAAUUUAUUAAGAGAAAUACAUAAGAUAUCGAUCUUUGUGGAGAUAAGAAUUUUAGAAAACUACUCUUUGUUAUAUCAUUCUUCUUUUUCUUACACGAAAUUAGUUUUUGCAUUACAAAACAUGAAAUUUCAGGCUCAAAGAACAGCAAAGUUCAUCAUCCCUAAUCUAUUAUUAUCGAUUCAUUAGUUCAACUAUAUUAUCUCUUAAUUAAUAUUACUCUGUGAUUUACACGUAUGCAUGCAGAAAAGAUGUAAUUGAGAGGCAACAUGGCUUCUCUGGUCACGUGUUAUGAAUUCCUGACAUCGUCACCUCGUGCAAAGGCGUGGCUAAAGAAGCAUUUGAUUCAACUGUACAAGUACGAGGCAAGAGUUCGUGAAGUAGAAGGUGUUGUGACGAAGCUCCAGAAAAAGAGAGAUACUAUUCAGCAUACUGUUGACGAGGAAGAACGUCGACAUGGAAGAAAAAUUCACGUUGAAGUUAAAGAAUGGAUAGAGAGUGUGGAUAAACUCAUUCUCGCAUAUAAGGAUUUCGACGAGGACAAAAAUUGCCAUAAAUGUGCAGUGUUUGACUUUUUCGAAAGUGGUUAUCUUCCGAAGCCGGGAAUAAGGUAUCAUCGAAGUAGAAAAGCAGAUGAUAUCACAAAGCAGGCAAAUGGGUUGCUGCAAAAUGCAAAGUUUGACAUUUUGUCUUAUUGGUCUGGGCCACCUUCCAUGGCUGCAUUUUUUUCAAACCUUGGUUACGAAAACUAUACAUCAAGAAAUGACACUGUGAAAAAGAUUACUGAUGAAUUCCAAAAGCCAGGUGUUAGAAUGAUCGGUCUUCAUGGCUUGAGUGGCGUUGGCAAGACCUCUUUAGUGAAAGAAGUUGUGAAGAAAGCCUUGAAAGAUAAGAUGUUCGAAGUGGUGACCAUGGCAAGUGUGACAAAAAACCCUGACGUAAGAAAAAUCCAAGGACAAAUUGUUGACAUGUUGGGGGUUGUAUUGGAGGAGGAAAGUGACAUUGCAAGAGCUGCUAGGAUUCACGAGAUAUUGAAUAAUGAGAAUAAGAGUACGCUUAUAAUACUAGAUGAUCUCUGGGAAGAAGUGAACUUUAACCUGCUGGGGAUUCCAUGUGAAUUAAAGAAAGAUGAUAGCGUAACAAAUGUCAAAGGAAAAUCCCUUUAUGUUGAUAGCUCCAAGAAUGUCACUGAUGGAAAAUCCCCCGGUGCUCUUGAUAGGGUGAAGAGUGUCAAAAUAAGAGAUAUCCUUGGCGGUGGUUUGAAGAAUGCCAAUGAAGGAAAAUCCCCCGUUGAUGCUUCUGAUCGGGUUAAAACAGAAAAAACUGUUCCUCAGUACAAAGGGUGCAAGAUUUUGAUUAUUUCUGAAAUCAAACAAGUGUUAUCAAGUCAAAUGGAAGGGAAAGAAGAGUAUAUUUUCCCCGUGGAAGUCUUAAAGGAGAAGGAAGGAGAGAUGUUGUUCAAGAAAAAGGCUGGAAUAGAUGGCAAGAAUUCUGAAUUUGACAAAUUAGCAGCUCAAAUUGCCAAGAAGUGUAAAGGGUUGCCAAUGACAAUAGUUACCACUGCAAGGACACUGAAAAAUAAGAGCCUUUCUGUAUGGGAGGAAACUAACCGAAACCUCGAAUCUCAAAACUUAACUGGAGCACCUGAAUUUUCUACAAUGUUGAGUUAUAAGCUUUUGGAUGAGGAACUCAAGCACACUUUCUUGCUUUGUGCUCGCAUGGGUCAUGAUGCAUUGAUUAUGGACUUGGUCAAAUAUUGUAUUGGUUUUGGUUUUCUUCGAGGAAUCAACACAGCAAGGCAAACCAGAGACAAAGUACAUACGUUGGUUGGAAAGCUAAAAGAGUCGGGUCUGUUGUCUGACAGUUAUUCAAGUGAUCAUUUUACCAUGCCGGAUACUGUUCGUACUGCAGCUUUGUCAAUAGCAUAUAAGGAAAAUCAUUUAUUUACACUGACAAAGGGAAAAGUAGAUGAUUGGCCUGAUAACCUUGAAAGCUAUGCUGCUAUUUCCUUACAUCAUUGUGACUUCAUUGAAGAGUUUCCCGAGAGAAUAAACUAUCCAAGACUUAGAGUCCUAGAAAUUGUCAAUAAUAAUCCACGUCCGAAAAUACCUAACAACUUCUUCGAAGGAGUGAAAGAACUCAGAGUGUUGAUAUUGACUGGUAUUCAUCUCCACCUCAUUGAUUCUUCAAUUUCAUGCUUGAAUAAACUUAGAAUGCUCUGUUUGGAACAAUGCUGCAUGCCAGAUGAGGAAUUAUCCAUCAUCGGAGAGCUGAAAAGGUUAAGAAUUCUUAGUUUUUCAGGAUCUGAUAUUAAAAGUUUGCCAGAUGAAUUGAAUGAGUUAAAAAUGCUACAAAUUUUUGACAUAAGUAAUUGCUCUAAACUUAAAAAAAUUCCAUAUGGUGUCAUAUCAAGCUUGGUAAGUCUGGAGGAGUUGUAUAUGAGAAAUACCUUGAUUCAAUGGGAGGAUGAAGAACAACACGUCAAAGUAAAGUAGCUCUUCUUUCUGAUUUGAAACAUUUGAAUCAAUUGACAACUCUAGACAUACAAAUCCCAAAUGUUUCCUACUUGCCAAGGAAUUUGUUUUUUGACAAGUUAUAUAGUUACAAGAUUGUUAUUGGAGAUUUGAGUUCAUUUUUAGAGACAGAUUUCAAGAUGCCAGAGAAAUAUGAAACAUUGAAAUUUUUGGCAGUACAAUUGAAAAAUGGAUCUGACAUUCAUUCUUUAAAGGGGAUCAAAAUGCUGUUUGAAGGAGUUGAAAAUUUGUUUCUAGAACUUAAUACUGUCCAUGAAAAGCACAGUAGUGUCCAGGAAGCCCAUAAUAUUGUCCACGACCUUUUUUAUAGAUUGAAUUUAAAAGGAUUUCCAUAUCUGAAACAUUUGUGGAUUGUAAAUAAUUCUACCAUUCAAUCUCUCAUCCAUCCAAAGGACAGGCAGCACCCUGAGAAAGCUUUUCCAAAAUUGGAAUCAUUAUGUCUCUAUAAUCUGAAGAUGAAUGAAUUAUGCUCAUGUAAACUUUCUGAACCCUCUUUUGGUAAACUGAAAGUCAUCAAGAUCAAUCUCUGUGGUGAAUUGAAGAAUGUCUUCUCAAUUUCUGUGGUUAGACUUUUAAAAGUCCUUGAAACAAUUAAAGUUUCUGAAUGUAACUCUUUGAAGGAAAUUAUCGAUGUGGGACCACAAAGCAACCCUGAAAAGACUGAGCUUCUUACUCUCCCUGAAUUACGCUAUUUGAAGCUACAAUCUUUGUCUGAGUUUAUUGGGUUUGAUGCCAUUCCUCCGAUAGAAGGAGAGGAAAGAAAACUCUUCAACGAAAAGGUGCGUUUAUAAUUGUUCCUCCAAAUUUCUGUGCUAAACCUUUUUUUUCACAUUUUAUUUUGUUAAACUAAUAGGAAAGAGUUUGUAAGGAGUUAAACUUUAAAAUAGAAGAAGCUUAUUUGUCUAUUACGAAAAUUAAGUUGAGAAAAUCAAAAUCAAUUCCUUAGUUUUUUGAGACACUAAUCACGUGUGUCUCUUUGCAGGUUGGAGUUUCAAAAUUAGAGAGACUGGAGUUGUCCUCAAUCAUGAUUGACGUUAUAUGGAGUGUCGACCAUUCUUCUAAAAGAUUAUCUUUUGAAAGUUUAACACGUUUGGAUGUUAAUCGUUGUUGGAAACUAAAAUAUUUGGUAUCAUCCACAAUGGCCAAGAGUCUGGUGAAUCUUCAAAGCCUUUAUAUUAGUGAAUGUGAUAAGAUGAGAAGCAUCUUCCUCCCUGAACAAGAUACAGAGAAGGAUAUUAUGGUAAGAAGAUUGGUCUGAUUAGAUUCAAUGUUACGAUUUGAAAUUGCAAACCCACCACAAUCGUAGUUUCAAAUAGUACAGUUAUUGAUGUUGUUUGUUUGUAGAUCUAUAAAUGUUAUAUUAGUCCAUUUCAAAUUUUAAUAGUUUUUAAUGUUUAUUAUAACCAAAGUACUUCAUGUUUUUCUGUUUAUUAAUUUGGUUUCUCUAUUUUACAUCUAAUUCCAUUAACUAAUGGUAACUGUGUACCAAAAUAGGGUAGCAUCUUUCCAAAAUUGAAGAAUAUGAAACUUGGCAGCAUGAAGAGUCUGAGCAAGAUAUGGAAUCCGAAACUCCCUUCAGACUCCUUUAACAAACUAGACACUCUAAUCAUUGAGGAGUGUGACAAACUUGAAAAUGUAAUGGAGGGAAUAUUUGGGAGUCUAUGCAGCUUGAGAGUUACAAAUUGCAGGUCCAUGCAAACAAUAUUUAAUAUAGGUGUGCAAGUUGGGGAUGUAGCUAAUAACUUGCAAGAUGUUCAUUUAGAAACACUCCCAAAAUUGAAGCUUGUAUGGAAAAUCAAUAAUGAAGAUCGAAUAGAGAUUCCUAAGUUUAACAUACUGAAGAAGAUGUGGGCACAAGAUUGUGACAGCUUGGAAUAUAUAUUUCCAUUUUCUGUAGCCAGGAGUCUUGAUAAUCUGGAAUCUCUAGUGGUUUGUGAUUGCUAUGGAUUGAGUGAAAUUGUUGCCGAAAGGGAAGCUACCAACAGGGGUAGAGCCAGAUUUAACUUUCCUAAACUAAGCACCAUCAAAUUUUCAGAACUACCAAAACUUACGAGCUUCUAUCCAACAACUUAUGAUUUAUCAUGUCCAUUGAAUGAGCUGUCUAUUGAACUUUGUAACAAUCUGGAACCAUUCAACAAAGGAACCGAGUAUGCACAAAGAAAUCCUGUACAUGUAUGCUUUCCUGAAGAGGUACUUGUACUAAGCCCUUCAACUCUUCAACCACACUUUCUAAUUCAUGCAAAAUUAAAUAGAAAAUGAUAAAAAUGGAAACAUAUUCUUCUACUUUUAUUUAAAUAUAUUUACAUUUAUAUUAAUAUACUCAUCCUUUUGUUUACAUGUUUGUCAAUUAUAGGUAAUCAAUCACUUGAAGUCCAUGCAAAUUGAGUCUUGGCAUGCAAAGUCACCAAGCAGUUAUAUGGGUAAAAGGAACCAUCGAAGGGAUAACUUAGAAGAGCUUUCCUUGUCUAGAUUAAUGGAUACUGAGAUUUUAUAUUCUUUCCUACAAAGAAAUCCUAAUUUGAAAAGCCUAUCAUUAAGUAAUUGUUUCUUUAAUAAGAUAGUGCCUCUAAAAGAAGAUACGGAAAUUGAAAACUUGGGAGUAGUUCCAAAUCUGAAAAGCUUGAAAUUGAUAGACUUGCCGAAUCUUGAAGAGAUAGGCUUUGAACCAGACAUAAUUCUUGAAAGGAUAGAGUUCUUGAUUUUACAGAACUGUCCCUGUAUGAUUACUAUAGCACCUUCCUCUGUAUCUUUUACUCGCUUGACAAAUCUAGAAGUGGUCAACUGUGAUGGAUUGCAAAGUCUAAUGUCAGCAUCUACUGCAAAAAGUUUGGUUCAGCUCAACACCAUGAAGGUAGUGAAAUGUGAAUCCCUGAUGGAAAUAGUAAGAAAAGAUGGAGAAAAAUCGGACAAAGUUGUUUUUCAACAAUUGAAAGUCCUAGAGCUUGUUUCACUGAAGAACCUCAAGAGUUUCUGUGUCUCUGAUUGUGACUUUGAAUUCCCAUCACUGGAGAAAUUUGUAGUGAGUGCAUGUUAUAAUAUGGAAAAAUUUUCUGAAACAGUCUCCAGCUCACCAAUUUUACAAAAUAUUCACGUUGUACAUGGAAAAGAGAACAAACGAUUCUGCUGGGAAGGAGGUAUAAAUGCUACAAUACAAAAAAUAUUUGGGGAGAAGGUAUGUAAUUAUGUAUGAUUUUCUUGACUAAAUUUUCGUUUCAAUUUUGUUGUCCCCAGUUUUAAAAGUUAACUUAAAACAGUGUAAUUAGUGGGCUUAAAAAUUUGUGUGAAUUUGUGGUAAAUAGAAAACGAGAAAUAAUUAUGUCUUAGCUUCAGUUAUCUUUUUAAAGAAUCAAAGACCCAUUUUUUUUAAACAUCCUCUAACCAAAAAAUAAAAGAAAAAUCAAUGACAAGUGAUUGUCUGAGUGGAAUAGGUAUCAUACAAUGAACUUACACAAUAUAUAUUCACAGAAAUUUUUUGAAGGCAUGGAGGAGAUGAGCCUUUCUGAACAUCAAGAGCUACAAGAAACCUGGCAAAGUGGAUCUAGUCUUCAAAAGCAAAAUAGCUGGUUUUAUAGUCUGAAAAUUUUGAAGCUUGAAAACUGUGUAAUUCAACCAUGUGCAAUUCCAUCUAACAUUCUUCCUUAUUUGAGGAGCUUAGAAGAACUGGAAGUACGAGGUUGCAACAAUGUAAAGGUAAUUUUUCAGAUGAAUGCUGAAGGGGGUACUGGAACAACAUUCCACUUGCAGAAAUUGACUUUAGAAGAGCUACCAGAACUUAAGGAUGUCUGGGAAAGAAACGGUAAAGGAACUCAGAGCUUUCAAAAUCUGAAGGUAGUCAAUGUCAGUGAAUGUGAAAACCUGCAAACUGUGUUUCCUUUGACCUUGGCAAAAAUUCUUAAGAAACUUGACGAACUUGAAAUACUACUUUGUCUUGGAUUGCAUGAAAUUGUUAGAAAGGAAGAGGACACAGAAGCGGUGUUUGUGUUCCCAUGCUUAACUACACUUCAUCUUGGUGAUCUGCCAGAGCUCAUUUACUUCUACCCACAAUCAUUUACUUUGGAAUGCCCUGUGUUAAAUAAAUUAUUAGUGUGGAGUUGCCCAGAGUUGGAGCUAUUUGGAAGUGCUAACAGACAAUCCAUGUUCUUUGAUCUAAAGGUAAUUAAGUAAAAAGAAAUGCGCACUUUGUAUAUAUUUUACGUUUCACCUUUUAAUACUCAGUGCUCACCCUUUUAUUUGUUUUUCUUUCACUAGGAUAUCUGCAACCUUGAGGUACUGUUACUUGACUGGAAACUUGACUCGGUGUUAAGGACAAACUUGGGAGAACCUAUGGACAACCUCAAAUACUUACAUUAUAUUCUCCUGUUUUGUUAUACUGAUGAGAAUAAAAGAUUUGAUUUUCCCAUUCAAAUACUCCAGAAGAUGCCCAAUUUAACAAAAAUGAGUAUAUACAAUUGCAGUUGCCUCGAGUUAUUCCAAACUCGAAUCCCAGAAAUUGUUGAAACAAAGGUGGUGCUUACGGACUUGAAAGCAUUGGAACUGAAUAACAUUUCGAAACUCCAGUCCAUUGGGUCGGAGGACUCACCAUGGUUAAACGUGAUUUGUGACAGUGAAAAGCUCCAAGAAUUAUAUAUUGAAAAUUGUCCUGAUUUGAAAACUUUAGUGCAUUCUACUCCUUCAGUGUCUUUCACGUAUGUGAAAGAAAUGUUCAUAGAAAGCUGUCAAGAAUUGAAGUAUUUAUUCACAUUAUCUGCGGUGAAUAAGUUAGAGAACCUUGAGCAUAUAAAAGUCAGAGACUGUAAAUCAAUGGAAGCGAUAGUCUUGAAAGAUGAGGGUGACAUUUCAGAAGAGAUCAAAUUACAGCAGCUAAAGCGCAUAGAUCUAAGUAUUUUACCAAGCUUGGAAUGCUUUUAUUCAGGCGAUGACACUAUGCGCUUACCCUCCUUGAAGCAAGUGGACAUAUGGAUGUGCCCCAAGAUGGAGUUUUUCUCUCGAGGAUAGAUAGACAUGAAUUCUUCUUUUAGAGGAAUUCAAGCUUCAAACAACACAAGUGAUGAAUUUUUCUUAUACAAUAAUCUUAACUCGUCGGUAAAAAAGGUGUUCCUUCAAGAGGUAACCACUUCUAAUUAUGAAUCAAUUAAUUAUGACUCUGGUUUGUGUGAAUUUAAAGAAUCUAAAACAAGAAUUUGCUAAGUAUUAAACUCAAAACCACCAUAAGUUAAGUUUUGUUUUCUCCAUGGAAAUUUGAAUCACCAAUAAUUAUUACCUUUAAUUCUGAUUUUGAAUAUCAUUUAUGUUAGAAUUGUAGGCCUUAAACAAGAAGGGGUGACUUGUUUUCAAACGUUUUUUUGAAAGUUUUGAAGGUAUGUAGAAAGUCAAAGAAGAAUCAAAGUCAAAGGAAUCAAAGAAUACAAAAUAGAAAACAGUUUUAGUUGAAUUCCAGAAAUUCAACCAGUUGUUUCUGCGAUUCAACCGAUUGUUUUUAUCAGCAGAGUGUAAAUACAACUAAAAACAGAUAUGCAAGAGUUAAGGGAGAGAAAGAAUCACACAAGCAAUUUUAUACUGGUUCACUCUUAUACCCAAAGCUACAUCCAGUUCCCAGAAACCUCUGGGUAUCCACUAAGUAAUAGAAAAACCAGAUUACAAACACACAACCACUAAAGAAGUGAUCUUGAUCCCCUCAAGAGCACACACUUCCUUUGGCACACCACAAACACACCACAGAUCAUAACACCCUCUGACUCUGUGAACACCAGUUCUUAUAGAAAUACAAUUGAAGGAGGAAAUAGGAUUGAUCACACCUGGUACAAAUAAAAUCAAAGUACACAACAAGUCCUACUUCACUCUUAGAGAAAAAUCCAAAGCCUUAAGCAAUCUUGGAGAAAACUUGAUUUCAAAAACUGAUCUAACUCUUUUGCUAGGAGCGUAUAACAGAAUAUUUAUACUCCAAUUAGCAGUUAAAAGCAUUUAUUAUUAAAGUCAAAUCAGUUUUAAAACAUUCAAAGCAGAUUUAACAAACUUAACAUAAUUAUGUUAAGGCAGUUAAAAAAAAAUUGAUUGUUUUGUCGAAACAACCGAUUAAAUUGAUUUGACAGCAAAGUCAACCAAGUUCAAAUAUGCCAAAACUACACUACAAGAAAAUCUUGAAAUAGAAACCAAUAUUUAGAGACCAAAAUAAUUAGUUACAAUAGGAACUAAAAUAGAGACCAUUUUAAAAACUAAAAAAAAAAUGGUUUCUAAAUUAGUUUCUAUUAUUUUCUAUUAUUGUUAAAUAGUUUCUAAAUUGAUAUCUAAUUAGCAACUAAGGUUUUAACUACCAAUUAUGUAGUUUCUAAAUUUGGUAGCAAAAACCUUGGUUGCUAAUUAGAUACCAAUUUAGAAACUAUUUAACAAUAAUAGAAACUAAUUUAGAAACCAAAUUUCUUUUUAGUUUCUAAAAUGGUCUCUAAUUUAGUUACUAUUGCAACUAAUUAUUUUGGUUUCUACAAAUUGGUUUCUAUUUCAUGAUUUUCUUGUAGUGGUAGUUUCAAAAACCUUAUGUAUAAAACAACUGAUUGAAACGAUAAAACAACUGGUUGUUUUUUUGCUUCUUCAUAAAACACUCUUUUAAAAAGAUUUGAAUUAAACCAACUUCUGGAUUCAAAUUAAGAGUGAAUUAACAAAUUCAAACUACCCUAGAACACACCCAACUAAGCUACAAUCAUCCUUCACGCAAUCCAUAGACAGCGCAUGAACAGCGAAAGAAGAAAAAGAAACAAGAAGUCUUAGAGGAAGCCUAACAAACAAAGAUGACCACCAAGAAAUACAAGGUGAUGUAUGCGCAAUGUAACUGAGGAAAAAGACGUGGAUGCGAAGGUCGCGACUUCAGUCGCAACGAAGGUCAUGCUCGUGAAUACAACAAUAAAGAGAAAGGACAAACAAACCAAAAAAACUAACGUGCAUGAGGUUGCGGUCGUGGAAGUGGUGGUCGUUCAAAUAGUCAAAAUGUUGAAUGUUACAACUGCAAAAGACAUGGACACUGCGCAAAAGAUUGUAAUACCGAGAAGAAAGUGGAAGAAAAUGCAAAUUUAGUCGAGGAAUAUGAGACAAAAGAAGAAGGAAUUCUCAUGAUGGUUGAUGAAAAUGUCAUUUUGGAUAGUGACAUGGUAUGGUAUCAAGACACUGAUACUAGUAGUCAUAUGUGUGGGCACAAACACUUCUUUGUUGAUAUACAAGAGAUAAAAGAUGGACAUGUUUUGGAGACUCAACAAGGGUCAGGGAAAAAAAUGUUUUCCUAGAAGGAUAGAAAAGAAGGUAUUAUAGAGGACGUCUAUAUUUUUUUAUCGGCAAAGAAUAAAAAAUAAAAUAGGGAGCACUUGGGGUGCCUCAACCCAUAUACAAAAACCAGGCUUGAGAAAAAGUAUUACAUGUUGGCCUAAGACAGCUAACCAACUAAAGCAAAAAUCAAGCCUGUAAAAACUUUAAAACGCAUAAAUAUAUAACCGAAAAUUGCUCCCCUCCCAUAAUUUUCCUAACUUAAAACUUACAUAAUUCCCCAAUUCACCAAAACACCAAAUUAAGAAAAAAAAUACAAACAAUACAAUAUCUCCAACAUUGGUCUAAACUAACACCCCAAUUGAGUUGCACCAAUGGAAAACAUUAUUCCUUGAGACAACUACAGUAUAAAUCUGUGAUCCAUGUGUGCAGGUUAUCAUUCCAUGCCUUAGAGAGUUCCUCAAGUUAUGAAGGACUUCUAUUAUGUACUUGACUUGAAAAGUAAUAUUAUUAGUAUGGGAUAAUUAUUGAAGAAAGGAUGUUUGGUUUUCAUGAAAGACCGAAUGUUGCACUUGAAGGACAAAAAUGAUAGAGUGAUCGCAAAUGUGGAGAUGUGAUGUUCAAACUCAACUUAAAGAAUAUACAAGAGAGGUGUUUGCAAGUCAACAUGGAGGACAAAGCAUGGUUAUGGCAUUUACGGUUUGGACAUUUACACUACAAUGGGCUAAAAGAGUUAGCAAAGAAGAAGAUGGUCCAUGGGUUAUCAGACAUGGACUACAUCAAGAAAUUAUGUGAAGGUUGUGUAUUUGGUAAGCAAGCAAGGACAAAUUUUCAAAGAAGGCAGAAUAUCGUGGAAGGAAAUGCCUUGAGUUGGUUCAUACUGACAUAUGUGGCCUAAUCACUCUAGGUCUUUUAGUGAGAAGACGUAUUUCAUUACUUUCAUUAGCGACUGUACAAGGAAGACUUGAUUUUAUUUUUUGAAGGAAAAAUCAUAAGCAUAUGAGGUGUUAAAAAUUUAAGGCAAUGGUAGAGAAGACAAUCAAUUUAUACAUAAAGGCUUUACGGUCAAAUAGAGACGGAGAGUACAUGUCAACCACUUUCAUAAACUAUUGUACGAAACAAGGUAUCAAAAGAUUCUUGACAACACCAUAUUCACCUCAGCAAAAUGGCAUCGCAAAAAGAAAAGAUCGAAUAAUACUUGAUAUGGUUUGAUCCAUGUUAAAGAGAAAAAAUAUGCCGAAGAAAUUUUUGUGCGAAAGUAGUGCAAUGUGUUGUAUACGUGCAAAAUCGAUAUCCACAUACAAAAUUGAUGAAUCAAACGCCAAAAGAAGCCUAGAGCGGUUAUAAACCAACCGUAUCACACCUUAAAGUGUUUGGUAGUAUGGCGUACACGCAUUGUACUCACACCUUAGAGUAAGAAAUAUGUGUUUGUUUGGUAUGAUGGGAAUACUUGAUCCCAUUGAUAAAAAAGUGAUUGGGAGUCGAGACGUACAAGUGAAUGAAGAAAACACGUGGGACUAGAAGAAUCAAAUGGUUGCAAAACAAGGAGGGUAAUUGAGUAUUGUACCAGUAAAUAUUUGAAUAAUUUUUCCAUAUCAUGAUGAAGAAGAAGAGCCAUGACAACCUAAGAUGCGAAGCCAGACCUAUAUGACUCAACUGAUGAAACACAUUUGAUUCGCUUAUUAGUAGACUCAAAGAACAUUGAAUUUGAGGAAGUAGUGAGAGACAAGAAAUGGAAAGCUGCAAUGGACAAAAAGAUAAAAACAAUUGAAAGAAAUGGAAUGAGGGACUUAUUAGAGUUUCCAAAACGAAGUAAACUCAUAGGUGUAAAACGGGUGUACAAGAAAAAGAUGAAUGUUCAAGGGGAGAUUGAAAGGCAUAAGGCACACCUAGCUGCAAAAGACUACAAACAAAAGGCGGGAAUUGAUUAUGAUGAAGUUUUUGCUUCAGUUUCAAGAAUAGAGAAAGUUCGACUUCUUUCUUCUCUUGUUGCACAAAUCGAGUGGCCAAUCUAUCAAAUGGAUGUGAAAUUUGCAUUUUUAAAUGAAGUCCUUGAAGAAGACGUCUAUGUAGAGCAACCGCUAGGGUUCAUGAAAUUUUGGAAAAAAGACCAAAGUUUUGAAGCUAAAGAAAGCAUUGUACAGGUUAAAGGAAGCGCCCCGUGCUUGGAACUCCCAAAUUGAUACUUACUUCAAAAGCGAAAUAAAUUUUUACAAUGUGCUUAUGAACAUGCACUAUACGUAAAGAAAGAAGAAGGUAAUUUAAUUUUUGUUGCUCGUUAUGUUGAUGAUCUUAUUUUCAUGGGGAGUAAUAAGAAGAUGACUGAAGAUUUUAAAGAAGUUAUGAAGCAAGAGUUUGAAAUGACAAACUUAGGAUUGAUGAAGUAUUUCUUGGCCUUGAGAUUAGACAGAGAUUUUGGAAUUUUUGUGUCCCAAGAAGCACAUAUGCUAAGGAUAUUUUGAAGAAAAACGAGAUGGAAGAUUGUUAUCCGAUAACAACGCCAAUGAAGCUCGGUAUGAAACACUCUAAAUUUGAAGGAGGAGACCAAGUGAAGGCAAGAGAAUAAUGUAGUUUAGUAGGGAGUCUACCGUAUCUCACAUGUACAAGGCCGAACAUUGAGUAUAGUUUUGGUAUAAUAAGUCGAUUCAUGGAGGAUCUAAGACACUUGCACCUAAAAGAUAUUAAAAGAAUUCUUCAAUACAUUCGAGGAACAAAAUCACUUGGGCUACUCUACUCAAAGACAAAUGAAUUUAAGUUGGUUGGAUACUCUGAUAGUGAUUGAUGUGGAGAUGUAGAUGACCGAAAAAGUAGAGCAGGAUAUGGGGAAUACAACAUUAACAUGGCUCUUAAAGAAGCAUCCAAUCGUAACUUUGUCAACAUGUGAGGAGGAAUAUGUUACAACAUCUUGGUGUGUGUGACACAUGAUUUGGUAAAGAAAUUUAUUAUGUGAGUUAAAUUUGCAACAACUUGAGGCAACUAAAAUACGAGUUGACAUCAAAUCAACCAUUGAAUUAGCAAAGAAUCUAGUUCAUCAUGAGAGGAAUAAGCAUAUUGAUACUCGUUUUCAUUUUAUUAGAACAUGUGAAGAAUGGAAAAGUAAAAAUAAUGCAUGUUGCAAGUCAUCUACAAACAAUUCUAUUUGAAAAAUUGAAGAUGAUUGGAAUGAAGAAUAUGAAAGGUUUUAGUUUAAGGGAGGAAUUUGUUAAGCAUUCAAAUCAAAGUCGCCCUCAGUUGUUUUUUUCGUCAAAAUUUGAAUGACCAAUAAUUAUUACUUUUAAUUUUGAAUUUUGAAUAUUAUUUAUAAUAUGAUUUUAGAUGUAAUUUAUAUUAUAACUGUUAUUAGAGAACAAGAUGCAUUGGAAGUCUAUUGUGAGACUAUAUAGUAUUGUACUCUCUAUUUGAAAUAUUAAAAAUAAAAACUUUGUCUCUGUUGACAGAACCAUUGUAGAUUUAAAGCGGUUUUUUAUAGGUAAACAAAGCAUAGCAGGCAAUUGAUAUAUCUGAUGAUAAACCUAUUGAAAUAUUUACAGGAGUUUUUUCAAGCCGUGGACAAGGACUGUUUUUCUGAUAAUCUUGAGCUACAAGCAGACCCACGUUGUAAAAUUGGUCUGCAAAACAAAUGGAUGGCCAAUUUGGAAACUUUGAAGCUGCAGAACUGCACUCUAUCAUAUGCAAUUCCAUCUUCUAUUCUUGCUCUUUUAAACAACUUAAAAGAGUUAGAAGUACGAGAAAGCGACCAAGUAAAGGCAAUUUUUGACAUGAAUGACGACACUGAGAUUACUGCAACAGAAUCCCAGUUGAAGAUAUUGACUUUAAAUGGGCUACCAGAGCUUACGCAUGUGUGGGAAAAGGACACUCACAAAAUUCUCAUCUUUCGCAAUCUACAAGAGGUUGCUGUCAGUGAUUGUGCAAAGCUGCAAAGUUUAUUUCCUGCUUCCCUGGCAAAAAGUCUCAAGGAUCUUAAGAAGCUUAAAAUAGAUUCGUGUAAAGAUUUGCAAGAAAUAGCAUUUGCAACAGAAGAGUUUGUGUUCCCUAAGCUAGAGGAUAUGGAACUCAAUGCCUUGCCCCAGGUCAUUUGCCCUAACACAUUCACUCUGAAAUUCCCCGCCCUAAAAUUUUUAUCGGUGAGGGAUUGUGAUAAGUUAGGGGUAUAUGAUCCCAUGGGUGAAGGUACUUCAAGAAGCAUACUCCCUCUUAUCUCAGAUCCAAAGGUAAGUUAAAGCAUCACUGAAUCAACUUUUUUCUCCUUUCAAAAUUCACGCACCUUUCGAUCCGAUUUGUUUUUGUCUCUAACUUGUAGGUCAUUUCCAACAUGGAGAAACUGACUCUUGAUUGGAAACAAAGGGCAUUAAGCUUAUGGUUUCAGUCACAACAAUCUACGGAAGGCCUCACAAAUUUAAACAGCAUUUCCUUGUGGUUCCUUGGUGCUAAUGAGAAUGAAAUGCCUAUGUUGCCCAUUGAAAUACUCAAGGCACCAAAUUUAAUAGAAAUGGAAAUAAACAAUUGCAAACUCGAGAAUUUCCUUGCUCAAAACCCCAAAAUUGGCGAGAAGGAGAUGCUGGGACAUUUAACAAUAUUGACACUAUGCAAUGUGUCCACUCUUCAGUUCUUCCAGUUUGAGUACUCUUCAAGCUUAAACAUAAUCUGUGAAAGAAUUCAUAAAUUACUUGUUUCUGAAUGUUCUCAUUUGACAACAUUAGGAAUACAUUCUACUUCUACAGUGUCUUUCUCUUGUCUGAAAGAACUGCACCAUACACAAAUGUCCAAACUUGAAGUAUUUAUUUACAUCUUCAGCUGCAAAAAAGUUAAUGAACCUUGAGCAGAUCAGUGUCACAGAAUGCGAAUCAGUAACAGAAAUAGUGGCUAAAGAGGGUGAUGCAACUUCUGAACCCAUUAAAUUUGAGCGACUCCACACCAUUUAUCUAUUAUCUUUAACAAGUUUAGUAUGUUUUUAUUCUGGGAGUGACACUCUGCAAUUAUCAUCUUUGAAAACUGUGAAAAUAUGGAGCUGCCCCAACAUGAAGAUUUUCUCCCAAGGAAUUGAAUCCCUUAUGGAAAUUACGUUAUCCAUGGACAAGGAAGCAGACGAUUUACCCCCUCGUCAAGAUCUUAACACCAGAAUAAAAUGGAUCUCACAACGAAAGGUAAAAAUUUCAAGGAUGGGUUUAGAAAGAUAUUUAUAAUUUAUUUGACCUUAUCAUAUCGAAGGCAUAUUUACAAGUAAUUUAGAAAAUUUAUAAAAAUAAACCUUUUGUAAUAUUUACAGGAGUUUUUCGAAGCAGUGGACAAGGGGUGUUUUUCUAAUAAUCUUGAGUUACAAAAAGAUCCGCAUUAUAAGUUUGGCCUGAAAAACAAAUGGUUGGGCGAUUUGGUUACUUUGAAGCUGCAGAACUGUACUCUGCCAUGUGCACUUCCAUCUGCUAUUAUUGGUCUUCUAAAGAGCUUAAAAGAGUUGGAAGUACGGGAUAGCGCAACAGUAGAGGUACUCUUUUAUAUGAAUGACACUGAGAUUACGGAAAUAGCAUCCCAGUUGAAGAUAUUGACAUUAAAAGGGCUAUCGAAGAUGACACAUGUUUGGGAAAAGAAGAAAAAUGGAGUUCUCAUCUUUCCAAAUCUGCAACAGGUUGUUGUUAGCAAUUGUGAAAACCUGCAAUCUUUAUUUCCAGCUUCCCUGGCAAAAAAUCUUAAAAUUCUCAAGGCACUUGUGAUAGAAUAUUGUGCUGAGUUCCAAGAAAUUAUAGAAAAAGAGGAAGACACAGAAGCAAAGUUUGUACUCCCUUGUUUAGAGGAAUUCAAUCUUUCUUCCUUGCCACAACUCACUUGCUUUUACCCUCAAACAUUUACUUUGGAAUGUCCAGCCUUAUAAAUUACAUGUGUCGAACUGUGAGAAAUUGGAGUUAUUUCAAAGUGCACAUUGCAUUGGUGAGACUACUUUAGGUGACAGAGAGCCUCUUAUCUCAAGUCUAGAGGCAAGUGCACAAUAAAGAAUCUGCAAUCUAUUUUUUUUUUCCCUUUUUUUUGCCUAUUACAGUCCUUAAUUUCUGUUAAAUUUGUUUUUGAUUUAAUUUUUAGGUCAUUUCCAACCUGAAACGAUUGAGUCUUGAUUGGAAACAAAUUCUGGCAUUAAGAUCAAGGCUUAGGUCUGAAAAAUUUACAGGAGUCUUCAAAUGUAUAAAGAAUAUGUCCCUGUCAUUAGAUGCUGAUCAGAGUGAGAUACCUAUGGUGCUCAAUGAAAUAUUCCAUACAGCACCCAACCUAACAGAAAUGAUGAUGGCUAUGCCAGAUUGCAAUAAUCCGGAGAUUUUCCUUGCUCAAAACCCCAAAAUUGGUGAGGAUGGGAUACUCUUACAGCUAAGAAUUUUGACACUCCAAGUAUCUGCUAUCCGGUCCAUCCAGUCAGAGAACUCAUCAUGGUUAAACACAAUCUGCGAGAAGGUUCACGAAUUAAAUGUCUUCCAAUGCCCUCUUGUUGAAACAAUAGGAGUGCAUUCCACUUCUACAAUGUCUUUCUCUUUUCUGAAACAAGUGCGUGCAUACCGAUGUUCCCAAUUGCAGUAUUUAUUUACAUCUUCAGUCGCCAAAAAGCUAGUGAACCUCGAAGAGAUCGGAGUCCAAGAAUGUGAAUCACUGAAAGAAAUAGUGGCCAAAGGGGGAGAUGAAGAUGAGCCCGAAGGAGAAGGUGAAGAUAAAUAUGAAAAUGAGAUGGUAUUCAUGAAGCUUGAGAAAUUAACUCUUAUCUCAUUAGACAAAUUUGAAAGCUUUUACACCGGGAGUUCCACUUUAAAUUUCCCAUCCUUGAGAAGAGUGUGGGUUCAAAAUUGCUUCAGCACCAAAGUUUUCCGUCGUCGUGAUAAAGUGCCUCCGAAAUUUAGGGUGGUAAUAGAUGGAUUCCGUUGUGAAGGUGAUAAAAAACAUCUGAUCAUGCAACAGUUCGAGGAGGAGGCAUCCUGAGUUAGUUUGGUCACAAAUUCUGUAGACUAGUAAGUAAG
rnacentral:lncRNA from 1 species